UCGUUCCAGUCGAAGGAGGUGAGCGGGGCGCAGUAGCCACUGGACUUGCUGUUGUCAAGGACCGAGCGGAUCUUGGCGCCGUCGGGGCCCAGGAGCCAGAGGCGGAGGCAAUCGGAGGCGGAGGCGAGGAGCGGGCUGUUGGGAUGCGGGUGGAACAUGAGUUUGGUGGACGGGUAGGGGUGGUCGAAGGAGACCGCGGGUUCGGCGCGGAAGGAGAGUGCGUCCUCGUCGAAGGAGACGACAUCGACGCGGUUGCCGUACUCCUCGAUGAAGGAUCCUAGGGCGAGGCGGGGGGAGGCGGCGGCGGCGGCGGAGGAGGGGGAGAAGGCCAUGGCGUAGACGGGGUGGGGGGAGUCGAAGGUGAAGGCGUUAGAGUUGAGAGGUGAUUCCUGGGUGGAACUCUCCAUUUCCCCUGCGCUCUCCUCCCUCUCCUGUCUCUCCUCUCCUCUCCCCAUCUCUUCUUAUGUGCUGUUCGGAAGCGGUGGAACAGAUUCCUCCUCCUCUCUCUCUCUCUCGCGCUCGCCUAACGGUCAAAGCGGUGACCGGUCUCGGUCAACUCCGCUGUGCGCAGGAGAGUGGACCUUCGAUCGGCUUGUGAUCGCUGUCUCACUCCAUUCAGUGCUCUGCUGACGGAAUUUUACGAAUCCAUUUAAAUCGAUUUUUUUUAUUUUAAAUUAGAUUUAUAACACACUUCGAUAAUAAAGUUAGGCAUAUAAAUUAAAUUAAUCAGGUUCGUCUUUUCUAACUGUUAUUAUCGACUUUACAUUAUAUACAACAUAAUUAUGAGAACGCAUUAUUCGAUCCGAUCCAAUGUUAAUGUUGAGGAUUCUAUCAGAUGGGUUGCUCCGAGAUUCGUGCGCAUGAUACUUAGAUGGAGGAAGGCAGGUGUACCUAGUCAGAGCCACGUGGGCUUUACAAUUCCACGGAUGUGCAAGAAGAAGUAAACAAACAAGGAAGUGAACUGUCCAAGGAAAAUGAUUCUGUUGACUUUGACAAGAGCAUGCAUUCCUACAGGACUGAUGAGCAAUCACUAAAUAUGGUAGGGUAGGGCUUUCAAUCGAAAGGCUGAUUCCUCCAUACCCCUGAAUUCUAUGGUCACUGAAUAUAUAUAUAUAUUUAUAUAUAUAUAUAUAUAUAUAUUUAUACAUAUAUAUAUAUAUGUAUAAAUAUAUAUAUAUAUAUACAUAUAUAUAUAUAUAUAUGUAUGUAUAAAUAUAUGUAUAUAUAUAUGUAUAUAUAUGAAUCUGAGUAAUUAUAGAUUAGUAGGUGUAUACUGGAAUUUGAGCUAUUAUUUAGAUCUUAUGAGAGCAAGAACACUGCUUUGUUGUUUCAAACAAGUACUAAUUUUCAAUUAAAUGAAAAGUAUAACUUUUACUAACUCUUCACCAUCAAAGAAAAUAUUUUAAAUCAAGUCCACAUGUGACUUUUUCUUUUCUGUCCAUUUAACUGGCAUUCGAUUUUAUUUCCCACACACGAUAAAAAAAAAAGAAAAAAAAAAGACAGAUUUAAGAAAUACAUCUUAUAAGAAAUUGAAAUUAUGUUACAAAAGCUGCAAAACUAGGUGUACACUGAUGAACCUAGCUAUGUUACAGAAGCUGGAAAACUCAGUAAUUCAAGAUACCUACUACAUGUUUAAGACUAAAAUUUGGGUCGCAAGAACUGAUUCUAUUAGACAAACAAAAGUACCCAUCUGAACAAAGGCAUUAGGAGCUUAGGCACCAAAACAAUCCAAGUAAUGCUAGCAAAAGCAUUGCUGACAAAAACAAAAUGACUGUAAGUGGAGAGUGUGAAGCAGCUCCGGUUGACAUUGGAUCCGAAGAUUGGCCUGUGGUUUUGUCAGCGUUCUUAUCAGUCUGUCUUGCUCUCGAUCUCAACUUGGGUUUGGAAUCAUAGAUCUCAGGAGAAGAGGACUUUAUCUCGGAGGAGUUUGCAUCAUCUGCAUGACAAUCAACAGGUGAUCAAUUUGUGCCACGAAUUGGACAGCCCAGGUACCAUGUUUACCACUGCCUUGACCAACCCAAAAUGGGUUCUAGCCUAAAACAUAGACCCUUGAACUAAUUAAUUUUUGAGAACGUCAUUAGGGUCUUCUUUUGGGUUAAAUCAAAGCUUAGAGAGGUGCACAUUUCCUGAAAUAAUAUUAGGAAAAAAAUUUCAUGUGCAUCACUUGCAAAGCAGGCAAUUUCAGAAUUACCUCUUGAAAUGUUGAGGUGAAUCCUAUGCUCCUCAAAAAACCCAUUAUCAUGGAAUAUAUGUUUUCAGUUCUGUGGGCCAAUAAAGGAGCCAUAACAAGAGUUUCAAAAUUUGCAGGCACAUAAAUGUAACUACCCAUGAAAUGUUAAUCAACCUAAUUGACAACCUUGGGGUCUGAGCAGGCGAGAUUAAUUUUAUAUUUCACAACAAUCUUGACUGGAGAAUUAGUCUCCAUGGAACUUACACCCAUCCCAUUAAUAAAACUUAGGAUAGCGCACACUGAAAAAGUCAGGUUAAAGUAAAAUAUAGUCAUAUCCAUCUCAGAUCAAUUUAGUUAAGCUAGUAAUGGUCAAAAAGUUUUAGCAAUCAAAAAAUUUCUAGUUGCAACAUGGUUUGCUGUUUAUUACCAUGAGUGUCCUCGGCGGUAAGACCAGAAACUAAUUUUUCUUCAUCAAAUUGGUGCUCCAAAACUUCACUAGCCUGUAAAAAUUUUUCCAUGGUACACAUUUAGUAUUAAGAAGUUUAUUAGGUCAAUAUAACAAACAGAAACUGUUAACAAUGUUGUCCUGAUAUAUUCUAUUAUCUUAAUAUUAGGUAAAUUUAUCAUUUCUGAGAAUAACCAACUCAAACAUCAUACCUCAGUGACACCUGAUUUGUCUGAAUCAUCAUUAUUACUGCUCAAGGCAUGAACAGUUCUGGGGGCAGAUCCAUUGUGAAUGAACUUCUGCAAACGUAACCGUCUCAUUGCCGAGCCUUGCUGUUUAAUCAAGUAAUCUGAGUCUGUCAAAUUUUUGCGAACUCUGAUCUGGAUUUCAGCCCUGUCAGAGUUGUCCGUAUUGGUUGAUUCUUGAUGCAAAGAACCUGCAGAAGAGUCCAUCGAGGAGAUAUUUCGGCUAAACUUCUGAUUAGGAAACACAGAGAUCUGCCAUGUAUCUUGUUCCGUAGGAACAUUAUAACUAUUCUCCUGUGAUAAGUGGCUUGAACCAACUGGCAGCCUGCAGAUUUCUUCAUAAAAACCUAUGCCAUCCUGAGGUAAUCAACACAGAAGAAAAAUUAGAAUUUUACAAGUUCAUUAACUGUAAUUGCUUUACCAUAUGUUUUCACUCAAAUCAACACAGUUUGCGAACUUGUGGAAGUAAAAAACAAAAAGGAGAAAAGUUACAGAACUAGUGUCCCUAAAAUAUUAUCUAAAUAAAAUUCACCUCAAAAGUAGUAACUUCAGUAUCUUCAUCACUGCCUGUCCUGCUAUCCUUGCCUGAUAACGUGUCCCAGUGGGAAUCGUCCAUGAUCAGACAAUUCCGAUCUUCUGCCUCAAACUCCAUAAUUAGACCUCUACAGGCACUUGAUGCCUCAUGGGAACAUUCCUCUUGAUUAAAAAGAACUGCAUCUAAGAAUUCAGUGACAGAGUCCUGCUCAAUGUUGUCAAAUUGAUUAAGCUCCUGCAGAAGUCCCUGGUUUACUCCAUCAUAAAAUGAGUGGCCCAUAGGAGACACUAUCGGGGAACUUAUAUGGUAAUCAUCAGGACCAAGCUUGUCACAUUCUUGGCCCAGGUAUUGUGCGAAAUCAUCCAACAGAGAAUCAACCUGAAUUUUAUAUCCAAGAAAACAGAACCGUAAGUCAAUAAGCGCCAUCAAAUUUGAGCUUAUAGAAAAUGGUUAACUAAGUCUAGUAAUUUUUUUGUCUGAAGCCACAACAAAGACAUAAAUAAGCAAUGUAAUGAAAAAUAGCUUAAUUUUUAGUGAAUAAAAUAGCAUGUAUUGUUAUUGUCCAUGAUAUCUUACUUCAGUAGCCACAUCGGUCCCCUGAUCAGCAACAUCUGAAGCGAUAGUAGCAUUGCAAUAGCUCUCUUCUGGUUUCAACAAACAGCUGUUUGCAAAAGCCAUUUUAUCUGCUACUAACUCAUUAAUAGCUGAUGGUGGCAUCUCAAAGAUACGAGGCAAAGGUUGCAGAUUUUCUUGCAAAUCCAACCCUGUAAGGUUUUGGUUCAAUGAUGUCAGAACUUCCUCUGCAGCCUCUGAUCCAUGCUGCGUCUCACCUGGUGAAACAAUGGUUGGAGAAGGAGAUAAGCCAGUACUUUCCAUCUCAUCAACAUUUUUCUCCAUGCAAUCAUUGAUCUCAGAAACUAAGGUCUGUUCUUCAGGCUUCCUGAAUAAACGACAAAGAACAUAGCCACCCUGCACAAGAUUAAAAAUAUAUGAAACAAAUUCCAUGUACCUCCAGUUGGUUUCAAUGCAUGUAGAUCAAUUAGUAAACAAAAUCAGAAGAAAAAAAAUCAUAAGUACUGAACAGAUUUAGUUAGUGUGCUGAUAAUUAAAUGAGAAGAAGAAGCGACUCACCUGCUCACCCGACUCAUAUUCGGGCUCAGUGGUUCGAUACUCAUGCAUAAUCCAAUUAGUGCGGACGCCCUUGGGAGCCCGGCCGCGGUGGAAGACAAGGGUCUUUUUCAUGCCUAAAAUCAUCGAACCUGGUGAUCUGGACUUGAUCGUCCGAUCCUUCCCUGUGGCCUUCCAGUACCCAGCCUCCGUAGCCCGGUUGGAACGGUUGCCGCUGGGAUACUUCCGGUCCUUUGGUGAGAAGAAGAACCACUCCGGAUCAAUUGAUUUGAUCAAUGAUUUGUCUGCUGACCAACACAGAAACCAUUACAGCAGUUAGAAAUAGAAUCUUCACAAACAAAAGCAGCGUUGGAAAGCAAAGGAUUGAACGCAAUGCCAGAUCCGAAAUUGAAUGUUCCGGACAAAACCGCGAGGAGAUAUCAGUGCAUGCACAAAAAAUCAUUUUUUUCUCAAACGAAAAAAGAGGGGAAACAAACAUUUAGGGCCGAUCCAAACAAAAGGCAAGCUUUGACAACAAGAACCUGAAGAUAAAACAAGGACGAGAAGGAAGAAGCAGGAAUAGAGAUCGGAAAGGGGAAUGAUCACCGGGGACGUCCCACGGCUCGCACUUGCAGACGUCUAUCUCGGGGAUGACCUCGAUCUCCGACUUGAUACGGCCGGUGAUCUUGCCCUUUAGGUAGUGAUUCACCAACUCCGCAUCCGUCGGACGGAAUCGGAACCCCAAGGGCAGCGAUUCAACGGAGACAGCAUCCAUUUCCACCGCUCACUCCUCUCCCGUCACUAUUCGCCAACCCACUACUGCCUCUGCUCGUCAAUACACCAAAUCGGGUUGUACAGACAAGAAGAACAAGAGAAAUAGGAUCGCCAAAAACUACAGAACAUCAAGGCAAGGACGAUCCGCGGAAGGCAUACCGGACCUACUGCGCUUGCUCCGCCUUUUUUCAUAUUUAUAGUCAGUCUCAUUCGCACUCUUACUGUUGCAUGAUCGAUGAUAAGACUAUGAUGCCCCUGUCCAAAGGUGGACAAGAUUCGGUCAAUUGGGGGCGACUCUGGGGACUGUUAAGUAAUUUGAUUGACAGUUUUGAGGAGGCUUCUUCGAAGGGACGGCAGGGCCGACCAAACUCCCAGUGUAGACGCGUGGUUGAGGCCUUAGAAACCGUUGGAUGGAGAUCGGACGGACUCCUUGCGCUUCUCGGCUUUGCUUCGGCGCGAAGGAUUAGGAUGGUGGGCUCGCCAUGUUGACCGCGGACCGUGUCUGGGAGUCCGUGUCAGGUAGGAGCAAUCCUGUUUUGAUUGACGUCAGUUGCAUUUUUUCUUACCUGCCUCGUGAUUGGUUGCAUUCGGCUCUUCUUCCAAAAGCAUGGUGGGUCCGUCACGAGUAUAUUGAAAACUACGCGACAAGUAAUAGCGAAAGUUUUCCUACCCGUUUUAUCGUCACCCAGACACCUACUUGCUUGUAAUCGGUCCUCAAGCUCGGGCCCACAAGGCGUCCAACGAGAUGAACGGGUAAACGACGCAUCGUUGGACGAGCAAUGAAGGGCAUUCGAGGAGCAUUAAGCCAAUGUGUACGUAUCCUUUACUCCGAACUCUGAAAGGUUCGGAUCACGAUAAGUUCAGCUGAGAUUGAGAUUUCUCGAAGGAUAUGAGCUUUGUUUGCACGGAAUCCGUCGUGUGUGCUGUAUCAUAUACAUUUUCUUCGUGUUGUUAUUAAGCGACAUGAUUUUUGUAGAAAAAAUCGAAAACGACAUCAUAUACGUAGUAGAAAAAUAUAAAUAAAAUUUUUAAAUUUCUCGACAAGCGUUCGUCGUAAAAAAUUUAUGCGUAAAAUCUUACUGAAAAACACGUGUGAGAUAAUUAUGUUACGAAGAUUAUAUAGACUACAUAAAAAUUUAAAUUUUAUAUGUGAUAAUAUUUAUAAAAAUUAGAUGAUAUGGAGUAGAAUAUCAUAUAUUUACAUUUUCGAUCGAUUAAGUUUAGAUAAUUAAUCAAAAAAUAUAUAAUACUUAUCGUAAAUGCUUGAUGUGGUGGACACACUGAUGGUUACAUCAAUCCAAUUUAGUUUAAACUCGUGUAUAUAAGAAAUUUGAUGUAAGCAAAAAGAAUAUUUUGAUAUUCAUAUGAUGAUUAAUGAGUAUUCAAACGCUUGAUUCAAUCUAUAUAAAUAUUGAAAUUGGAUGAGUUUAUUAAUAUGAUCCUACUAGUCGAAUCGAAAAAAGAAAUUUUUUAUCAAAAUAAUAAUUAACUUCGAUUACAUAUCCUUAUGAUUUUUUAUAAUUAAUUUAAUCAAAAAAAUAUUAUGACUUUUUUAUAAUAAAUUAAAUCAAAAAGUAUAUUAUAUGAUAUGGAUGAAAUAUACUCCUGACCUUCUACUAUGCAAUAUGGGUAGAAUAUUACAUCCUUCUAUUUUGUACUAAUAUCCUCUUAUUAUGCUUUGAGUAAUAAAUUUUUUUAUCAAUACUUAAAAAAAUAUAUCCAAUUUGGAUAUUAAGAUUCUCUCCAUUUAAACAAGAUACAAAAAGCUUAUGUUAAUCAUUUAUACCCCUAACUAAUAUUAGUUAAUUUAAAUUUAAAAAUACAAUAUAUAAAAUGCCUAAGGUCCUUGGUAAUUAGAUUCGUUGAUAUUAAUAUUAAUUAGAAUAAUAUGUUAGAAAACUUGCUGCGAAUAGUUGAACUUACAUGUAUACCAUGUUAUAUAUACAAAAUUAUAGUUUUCAUAGGGUGACGAUAUAUGUUAAACUUCAAUAUAUAUAUAUAUAUAUAUAUAUAAUAAUAAUAAUAAUAAUAAUAAUAAUAAUAAUAAUAAUAAUAAUAAAAUAAAUAAUAAUAACAUUUACUUGCAGGAGCAAAUAUUAUAUUUCGGAACUUUUGCAAGGAUAGAUAUGUAAAAAUACCCAUCGCACCAUGUCGCGCCCGCAACAUAACCGUCACAAACGCCGUUAAACCGAAACAUCAUUGCAAACCCUAACGUGCCUUCCGACCACUAUUUAUAUCGUCUGCCACGCGAUCUUCAACAUAUCGAAGAAGCGGCGACCUUUAACCCUAGUUUCUCGGCUCCCUACCAGAGAAGAAGCGACCGCCGCCUCCGCCGAGAUGGGCCGUGUCCGGACGAAGACCGUGAAGAAGUCCUCCCGCCAGGUGAUCGAGAGGUACUACUCGCGCAUGACCGUCGACUUCCAUAUGAACAAGAAGAUCCUCGAGGAGGUGGCCAUCAUCCCAUCGAAGCGGCUGCGCAACAAGAUCGCUGGGUUCAGCACCCACCUCAUGCGCCGGAUCCAGCGGGGUCCCGUCCGCGGGAUCUCCCUCAAGCUCCAGGAGGAGGAGCGCGAGCGCCGUAUGGACUUCGUCCCCGACGAGUCCGCCAUCAAGGUUGACCACAUAGAGAUCGACGGUCAGACCUUCGACAUGCUUGCUGCCCUUGGCAUGGCUGACCUCCCCGGUGUCGAGAAGCAGGCCGUCGCCUCCGCUCCGCCCGCCUACUCGUCCCGCCCCGUCGGCGGCUACGGCCGCAGACUGUGAGAUUGCUUCAUCUCAAGCUCAUUCGUCCUUUUAUAUUACUUAAAUCUGGAGGAUCCAUAAGUUUGUCAAUUUAAACGUUUUGAAUUAUUUACUCGGACUAGUUUAAAUGUAGCUUUAUUGGUUCUACUUUGAUCUCGAACUUGACUUGGAUGUUGGAACUGCAGUAUCAAUUAAUUUGGAGUUUCAUAUAACUGGUAGUGGUUGGAAUUUUACAUUUUGAUGAGUAUUUUUCAUAAUUUUCCUUUAUUCAGCGUGCUUAUUAUGUUGUUCAUGUUAAUCAUGCAUAUGAUAAGACCCUAAAAUCUUAUCGUAUACCAAAUGAUAAGACCCUAAAGUCUUAUCGUAGGCUCUGAUACCAAUUGAUAAGACCCUAAAGUCUUAUAGUAAAAAGAAGAAGAAAAGGGAAUGAUAAUGAUCGCUUCGAGGGGAUCGACCCUCUUUGAUCUCUUUGAGGGAAUCGGCCUUCCUUGAUCUCUUCGAGGGGAUCGGCCCUCCUUGAUCACUUCGAGGGGAUCGGCCUCCUAGGGUUUGUCCAAAGACAAUAGUAUUUUUCAUAGAUUACUGAAAAGAAGCAGUUACAUCCCUAUUUGUAGAGUUCCACCUGGAGUCCAUCAGGACUUGAACUCUAAUAAUAAAUAAAUAUUAAAUAAAUCUUUACUUGACUCUAAUUGAACCAAAUCGACUCAAUAAAUAACUAGACUAAACAGACUCAAUAAACAUUAUUCAAAAGCUCAUAAAAAAGGGUCCUAACAGUUCCUCCCUCUUCAAAUCAGUCUUGUCCUCAAGGCUGAGCAGCAUCAAUCUCUGGGAGCUUCUCUUUCAGCACUUUAGCCAUAGACUAUCUGUAACGCAUCACAACCCGUUGAUCAAGUAAGUAUGAUAUCCACUUUUUAAUAGUGUAAGCAAUAAGUCGGUCUUUUAAUAGUCUAGACUUUAGGGUCUUAUCAGCAUACUGUAACAAAAUAAUUUCUUCUUUUAGUUUAGACAUCGUAGAAGAAUCUCAAAUAUUGAACAAGUGAGAAGGAUUUUAUUGAAACUGUUGGUCGUUUUAUAUGUUAAUUUUCUGUAAAAGUUAUACUUUGUGUUCUCACUGCUAUCAUGUUUUGUCAUGUACUUGAUGAUUUGUUCUUAAAGUUUAUCUCUCGUUUUUCUGGAACUUACAUGCUUGAAUUUUGAAACAUUUCUGGUAAGUAGGACUACCGUGUAAUUUGAUUGAACUUGUAAAAACUAUUAGUGGAUAUUGAACCUGGGAAGCCCAAAAUUGUAAUCAAAUUACAUUAUUUAAACUAAUUACAUUCAAGGUAGAAAAAGGGAAGGAUACUUCUUUUUUUCUUGAUCAGAUCAUUCGGAAAUUGCUCAGCUCGGCUUUUCUUUUCCAUACCUUGGUUUCUGCCAGAAAUUCUCAUCUCCAACUUAAACAGCUAAGUUGAGAAGUGACAGUGCCUAAUCUAUUUGAUCUGUUAUCCCUAUGUGAGAUUGCCAGUAAUGUUUUACCCAAACAAAGAAUGUGGUGUUGCUAACGUUCACAUUGUCUUGUUGAUACAUUCUGCACAGCACCGACCUCACCAAUAUAGUGGUCUUAUUUAAUUUCUGUAUUUCAGUAUGAUCAGUUGCUCUAACUUGUAAAUAUGUAGGACAGUGGUUUAUCCAUGUUUUAUUCUGUUAAUUGAAUUCAUUUAGAGAACUGCCGUUUACAACACCCCUACAAAAUGUCUCUCUCUGUCACAAAGCGAUUUAUUGGUCUGACUGAUUAGAUUAUUUUUCUUCUGCAUGCUUAUAAAGUUUAGAAAAAUCCAAUCAUCUCAGAUAUAGAAUUACAAAUAUGAAUUUAUCCAACAGUUGGUUGGGAAAGCUGGAAUCCAAUAAACAGAGGCAUAACUCUCAAUUCUUUGGCUAGACAAUGUUACCUUUCACUUCAAUUCUUUUAAUUUGAUUUUUAUGUUUUGAUUUGCUUUUUGUUGUUUAUUGUUUUUUGUUGUUUUAUCUUUUGGUUCUGAAUUCUCGCUAUCACGAAUUACUGAACUUUAGCAGUCUUCUGUGGCGUGCUUGUCUCAUUAUACUCGUCAAACACCAGAGUCUAUGCUGUAAAUUGCUCCUACUGUUUGAUGCAAUACCUUACUGUUGCAUAUCAACAAAAUAAUUUGGAUUUAGUUUCUUCUUCAUAUCAUGCUGUGGUUGUUUAGUUUUUGUGCCAUUCUUUCCGCUGAUUCUUCCCAGGAAACAUGAAAUAGUAGGAUUGAGUAGUCUAAUAUUAGGGCUAGCAACAUUUGAUUAGGAUAAAAUAUUAGGGGCUGCAGGAUUAAUCCAUUUUAUAAAAGACAACGAAAAGUCACAUACUGAUGAGGAGUAAGGAUAAAUAUAUUUUGUCUAUCCGACAUCUGAUGAUAUACAUUGCAAGAGAGCUGUUCCAUUAGCUGAUAUUAAGAUUUGACGUGCUUCUGAAUUUGUACUUGUCAUGAUGAGAAUGUAUUUCAGCUACAUAACGUGGUCAAACGGAUUUUGGAAUAGUAUUGACUUUUCAUCUGCCAAAUUUCUGUAAGUCUUUAAUACUUUUUGUUACCUCAGGAAUAAAAAGUCAACCGUAUGGUUGACUAAUUGAUUCAAUUUAGCACCAUUUGAAAUUGACUGUUGAUUUCUGGAGAAAAUCUCCUGUAUUUCUUUUUGAAUGUACAAUACGGGAAAAGUCCUCGCUCUACGAUACGGUGUAGAGAAUGAUCUCACGAGAUUGAAGAUAGAAACAACACAAGAGUAGGAUAGAGAAAACCUAUAUAUAUAUAUAUAUAUAUAUAUGUAUAUGUAUGAAGGGAUUCUAACUACGAAUAAAGUUGAGAAAUGCCUGAGCCAAUUCAGAUAUCUAAUUAAUUGGAUUCAAUCAUGACGUGAUCCGUUCAUGAUGGAUCCGCUGCGUGUGGUGGUAUCAUCCAUCCGUUGAUUGCAACUUCGGGAAGGGUAAUAUUGUCAAUUUAUGUGGACACGAGGGAGAGGGCGGUCGCCUAAAUUGCACCAGCGCGCAAAGCAGGUUUCGGCCACCCGCGUCACCUAUCUCAUCGGGUUGGGUAGCGUUGAUCAUGACCUUACACGUGUCUCUACGAGGAGUGUUGAUCUUCCGGUAUAUCAUCAUCACUAUAUUUACUUUUUUGCCAUCAUAUAUUUUCCCUUUCACGUUCCCCAUCUGUCCUUUCAGUCUUAAUUAUUUUCGCCAUUUCUCACGGGCUGCCUUUACUUUCCGACUCGCCACCGAAUUGAUCAUUUCGGCGAGAUCGUCGAUGUCCGGCCCGUAAUUUUGUCCAAUGUCGGGGGUAUUCUCGGUUCUGUCGCGGGUCUAUAUAUUCGUCGAUCUCUAGGGGUUCUCUUCCUCUCAAAUCCUCCUCUUCCUCUUUAAUCUUGCGUUUCCUCCUCCUCUCACGCUUCCUUUGUCCCCUUCGGCGGCUGCCUCCGCCUGCUCGUCGUCAUAACGGCGGGUUUCGCCAGAUUCUUGGUGGUCACGCGCCCUCUUCUUCUUACCCUUUUGCACCAGUUGAUCUCUUCUAUUUCCCCUUUUUUGUCCCUCGAUUACUUUUGCGUGCCGAGACGUCGUCGUCUUGCUGACGAGGUGUCAUAUUAACAUGUCGAGCCACGUCCGGGCCGCAGAUGCGACAAUUGGCGCGGGGAGGAAGCGGAAGGACCGUGACCAGUCCGACUUCCCUCGCGCCGAAUCUCCUGCUUGGUCCGAUCGUUCUCGGCCGGCGCCGGCUCGCGACAACCGGCUCCUUGCUGGGUGCCUGGCGCACGAGUUUCUCACGAGGGGGACCCUCUUGGGGAAGCGGUGGGAGGCGAACGGGUCCGAGCCCAAUAACAAAUUCGCGGGCCCGAUUCUGUCGGGUUCGGGCGCGGAGCCGCCGAGCUCGUACGCCGAGUUGUCCUAUUUGCUGAAAGCGGAGGGGGCUCGCUUUCCUGGCGUGGUCAAUCCGUCCCAACUCGCUCGUUGGAUUCGGAUGUGAGGCCGCGUUAACCCCAUGGGGGGCAGCACGCGAGGCUGCCGACGUGCGUUGACGGUCAAACUGGAUUCUAAGAGCUUGCCGUAUGGACGAGAGACCGGAGAGAUGGCUCGGCUCAGUAAGAUGAAUCUCAUCGUGAAAGCAAGGCACGCAAACUUCUCAUCUUCUCUAUGGGUUCGUCCUUUCACCGAGUCGUUGAUGGAAGUUUUCUGGGUCAGAACUCAGGGUUUUGAUGUGGCUUUUGCUUUACAAUGGUGAAAAGUGUAGCUUUUACUCAUUGCGCUGCUGUUCUUCAUGCCGUCGUGCUUCUUUUUCGUUGAAGAAUGUGCUGUCGAGUGACGGAUAGAUGUAUGAUGUUAUGCCACAGAGUGAGCGGGUGUGUGCUUCUCGUCACGCGAUGGCUCUCACUUGUGCUGCUAAGAUCUGAUAAAGCUACAUCAGAUUUAUGCUUGACUAAGCCGUUCGAUGCUCAAGUUAUUAUAGAUUCUGGGAGUUCGAUCAAAUAUCGAGUUCAAGAUAGGAUAAUUAGCUAGAGAGAGAUUUAAGAAUAUAGCUAAGGGCUUUUUAUAGGAUUAAUGUCGAAAACGAUUGUACUUAUCGUCCAACCAUUAAUGCAAUCAUAAAAUUGUACAUCAAAUAUAGAAAUAUGGGAUAACACUUUGUUAUAUUGGUGGCACAUUGUCAACGUCCAUGUGGUGUGUCGAUAUAAUAAGAUUGAAGAUUGAAGUAUCGAUCAUAUGGAGAUGAUGUUUUGGAUAAAUAGGUAGAUGUUGAUUAGAUGGGUUCUAAUUCCACGUGGUGUGUCGGUCAUAUGGAAAUGAUGCAUUGGUAGAUGUUGAUUAGACGGAGAUAUAUGGCGGUAUUAGUUGUAUGGAGAUAAUCCGUCGGUUCGAUUUCCACCUAUCAAAUCUCUUUGCCAAUUUUUAAUUUUUUUUACUACUUUUAAAUAUUAUGAUUCUUUUCCUUUGAACUUAUCAGUAGGGAAGAUAGAGUUUCACUUUAAAUAGAAUGUUAUAUCAAAUAAUGAAUUCCUAUAAACGCCAAGCCAUUGUCUCAACAUAGUGUUUUAGCCAUUAAUCAAUUGUAUUUCAUUUUACGGAAGGAUUUGAAUUUUAUUUGAGGGAGGUAAAAUGAGAUAAAAAAAUAUUUUUAUUCCUCAAAAUAUAUGUAUAAAAUAUAUGUUAUCGAGAUAAAAGUAUUGAGAUGAAUAUGUGGAGAUACUAAGAAAAAAAAUAUUUUUAUUCGUGAAUAAAUUAGGUAUCAUUUUGAUUGAUAAUAAGAUGAGAAAAAAUCGUAAGAAAAUCUAUGGAUAGAAGAGAUGAAAUAAUUAAUUUUAGAAUAAGUAACGAAAUACGUAAAAUGAUUUUAAUAGAAAUCAUAAAUUAAAAUUUAAGUACUAAACUUGGAUAUAUAAUUUGCUAUAAAUAAUAUCCAAAAUAAUUAAGAUUCAUGACUUUAUUUUUGUUAUAAUAAUAAUAAUAAUAAUAAUAAUACUAAUAAUAUAUCUCUCUGAUUAAUAUCCAUCAAAAAAAAAACUCGAAUCAACCGCUACUCAUAGUAAUUAUUAGUAUUUACAAUAAUAAAAAAAUAAUAAAAUCUCAAUUAUUAAUAAUUAAUUUAAAUAAGAAAUAAAAUAUAAUUUACCCAAAAUAAAGACAUUCGUUGUCGAAACUGAUAAAUCUAUAAGACACCUAAAAUUUUCCUCAAGUUCUUAUCAUCAAAUUAGUUUGAAAUAAUAGUCAAGUGGGCACAUAAAAAGAGGGACAUAAAUGUAAUUGUAUGUAAAGGAAACUGCACUGAAACAUGUAGCCAGCUCGAUGGCACCUCUCACCCUCUCAUGCUCCUCCAUUUCCGCUGCCUUUCUUAGUUCGUCUCCCCCACCUUCUCAUUCCCAUCACAAAAAUUCCAACAAUAAACAUAUAAAUUAAUACAAAACUGCAAAUAAAUCUAAAGUCCAGGCGACUACCUAUCCUUUCUUCUCCCCUCUCUCUCUCUCUCUCUCUCUCUCUCCACGCCUUCCAAUUGCUCCCAUGCAGGUAUAGCCUUCCAUGUCGUCGUCGUCUCCUUCUUCUUCUUUCUCCCUGCGCGCCGUAGCCUGACCUACCGCAGCAUGGGGCGCCAGCACUCCCACUCCUCCAUCUCACGCUCGGACACCGACCCCAGCCUCGAGCUCGAGUGCCCCUUCGGAAGGAUCGACCCCCUCACGCGGACCGACCUCCGCGAGGCGGUGUACGAGCUCUUCUUCAUGACGUGCCGCUCCUCCCCCGGCUUCGGCGGCAGCCGGGGCUCCCUGAACUACUACCCGUCGUCGCCGGCCAGCACCGGCGCCGGCGGGGAGGGGUCUCCCAAGUGGGGGUCGUCUGGGAUGACGGUGGCCAGGAGCCGCAUCAAGAAGGCGCUGGGGCUGAAUGCGAGGCGAUCGUCGCCGAUGACGACGGGGAUGUCCAGCGGGUCCAACUCGCCCGGAAAGGCGAGGCGGCCGAUGACCUCCGCGGAGAUCAUGCGGCUGCAGAUGCGCGUCACGGAGCAGAGCGAUCGCCGGCUAAGGAAGACCCUCAUGAGGACCCUCGUCGGACAGGUGACUCGUGCAUGCAUGCAUCCAUCCAUCUCAGCCUUACCACAUAACCUCUAGAUUUGCUGCCUUGUACAUUUGCGUUGAUCCAUUAAGGCUUAAUGAACAAAAAGAUAUGUAUUCAUUUCAUUUGCUUCACAAAUCGAUCUUCAAUAUACAGGAAGGGUUUGGAUUGCUCCUCCCUCGCACCUCCAUGAUGACAUUUUUCUUGCUGAUGAUAACAGGUGGGAAGAAAAGCAGAGACGAUCAUCCUUCCAUUGGAGCUCCUUCGCCAGCUAAAGCCCUCUGAAUUCAACGACGCACAAGAAUACCACCAAUGGCAACGGCGGCAGCUCAAGAUCCUCGAAGCAGGCCUUAUCUUAUACCCGUCUGUCCCUGUAGACCGCCACAGCCCCGCAGCCGCCCGUCUGCUAGAGAUCAUCCGAGCGAGCGAGCUGAAGCCCAUCGACACCAGCAAGAACUCGGAAACCAUGCGCAACCUUUGCAACGCCGUCGUCGCCUUGGUUUGGCGGAGCUCCAGUGGCGCCUCCACUGAAGUAUGCCACUGGGCCGACGGCUACCCUCUCAACGUUCAUCUCUACCUCGCUCUCCUGCACUCCAUCUUCGACCUGCGCGAAGACACCGUGGUGUUGGAUGAGGUCGACGAGCUCAUCGAGCUGAUGAAGAAGACAUGGUCCACCUUGGGCAUCAACAAGAUGAUCCACAAUGUCUGCUUCGCGUGGUUGUUCUUCCAACGAUAUCUGGAGACGGGGCAAAUCGAGCCCGACCUGUUGUGCGCCACGCUAGCAACACUGGUCGAGGUCGCCAGCAACGCCAAGAAGGCCGAUCGCGAUGCUAACUACGUUAAUCUCUUGUCCGGCGCACUGACUGUGAUGCAGAGUUGGGCAGAGGCGAAGGUGUUGGACUACCAUGAGUGCUUCGACAAGGAAACCAUCGCAAGCAUGGAGAACAUAGUCUCCUUGGCACUCUCCACGACGAACAUCAUCGGCGAGGAUCCUUUGGACAACGGGGCCAGUCUUGUCGACGAUGACGGUCAGGCGGCGAUGGAUCCAUCCGUCAACCGGGUAGAUUACUACAUAAGGUCGUCGAUGAGGAGUGCAUUCGCCAAGGUGCCAAUUCUAGCAGUCAAUCCAUGCUUCCCGAGUUCCGAUUCAUAUGUUGAUGGUCCUCUGGUAUGCUUGCGUGUGACAGAUACUGGAGAAUGGAGCGUCCCACGGCGAUAGCGUGAUCGUGGGAAUAAACGACGAUCCUAGCAACAUCCUUCUCCAGCUUGCAGAAGAAACAGAGGAAUUGGCGCUGGUCGAGAAGGAUUUGUUUAGCCCUGUCCUGAGGAAAUGGCAUCAGGUUCCGACUGCGGCCGCGGUGGUGACGAUCCACAGCUGCUUCGGGAUCGUGCUGAAGCAGUACUUGUCCAAGGUCACGUGCCUGACCAACGAGCUGGUGCGGGUGCUGCAAUCCGCCGGCAAGUUGGAGAAGCUGCUGGUGCAGAUGGUCGUCGAGGACUCCGCCGACUGCGAAGACGGAGGGAAGGGGGUGGUGAGGGAGAUGGUCCCGUAUGAUGUGGAUUCCAUUGUCGCAGGCCUCCUCAAGACUUGGAUCGACGAAAGGUUGAGGAUCGGAAAGGAAUGCCUAAGCAGAGCAAAAGAAACAGAGGUAAGUUUUUUGUGCUACCUGAGACCGACAGCAAGCAUCGUGUGAUGUUGAUUGCUUGAGGGAUACGUUGUUGCUUGCAGAGCUGGAUGCCGAGGUCGAAGAACGAGCCCUACGCUCAGUCUUCCAUGGAUUUGAUGAAGCUGGCCAAGGUGACCGUGGAUGAGUUCUUUGAGAUCCCUGUGGGAGCCAGAGAUGACAUGGUUCAAGACCUGGCCGAUGGCUUAGAAACAAUCUUCCAGGAGUACACUACCUUCGUUGCUGCGUGUGGUAUGGACGGUGGCCUCUUUCCCUCUGCUAAGACCUGCGUUGAGUGAGCUCAAUCGUUUCGUUGUUACUCGCAGGGAACAAGCAAAGCUACGUGCCCAGCCUCCCGCCACUGACGAGGUGCAACCAGGACUCCAACUUGGUCAGGCUAUGGAAGAGGGCGGCGGUGCGCUGCAGCGUCGGUAUUGGCCGCUCGAACGGGAAGGACGGCAUCACCAACAUGAACCACCCGCGGCCGUCCACCAGCCGGGGCACGCAGCGGCUCUACAUCCGCCUCAACACCCUUCACUACGUCCUCGCCCACCUCCACGCCCUCGACAAGUCGCUCUCCUUCUUCUCCCGCAGCGGGCCGUCCCCCACGGGCCGCCACACCGCUGCCAACCGCCGCCUCGCCCCGUCCCACCACCUCGGUCUCGCCCGCUCCUCGGUGCAAUCCGCCAUCCAGUACGUGUCGGAGGUGGCCGCCUACCGCCUCAUCUUCCUCGACUCGCGCCACUCGUUUUACGACGGUCUCUACGUGGAGAGCGUCACGGACGCGAGGAUCCAACCCGGGCUCCGCAUCCUGAAGCAGAACCUGACACUGCUGGUGUCGAUCCUCACCGACCGGGCGCAGCCGCUGACGGUGAAGGAGGUGAUGAAGGCGUCGUUCGAGGCGUUCCUGAUGGUGCUACUGGCAGGGGGAAGCGAGCGGGCGUUCGCGCGAGGGGACUACGAGUCGGUGGUCGACGAUUUCCGCAGCCUGAAGCGGGUGUUCUGCACAUGCGGGGAAGGUCUGGUGUUGGAGGAGGUGGUGAACCGGGAGGCGGAGGUGGUGGAGGGAAUCGUGGCGCUCAUGGCCCUGCCCACGGAGAGGCUGAUCGAGGACUUCAGCAUCGCGGCGUGCGAGGCGAGCGGGCUGGUGGGGUUCGGCUUCUGCAGCGGCGGCAGCACCGACACGGCGGAGGGGCCGAAGGUGCCGAUGCCCCCGACGACGGGGAGGUGGAACCGGGCCGAUCCCAACACGGUGUUGAGGGUGCUGUGCCACCGGGACGACGAGAUGGCCAACGAGUUCCUGAAGCGAACGUUUCAGCUGGCCAAGCGGCGGUGAAAGAACAUCACAGGUGAUGGCCUGCGCAGUUUGUAUCAUACGUUAACAGUGGCUGCUAUGGUUUCUGUGAGCAUGUCUUUUUCCUUUUUCUUCUUUUCUAUGUUUGAAUGAACUAAACAGUACUCAUUUACAAAGUUAAUACUAGAAAUCAAAAGUAUAAAAAGCGUAGUGAUUCAUGGCAACCUAACCAUCUUCAGUCUUUCAUAUUUCUUUAGGUAGAUCUUUCAGCUCUUAGAACUUCUCCCAGCUUUCAGGUCUACGUAUCUUUAGUCCUUCAUGUUUCUUUUGGUUUUGGCUUCUGUAAUCUUAUUUCUUAGAGAUGUCUUGUGGAUUUGAUGUCCUAAUCUAAAUCUGCACCCAACCUUUUAGGUCUACAUAUCUUCAGUCUUUCAUCAGUCAGCUGCUACUAAUAAUUUGUGCCAAUUCUUCUGUUACCCCAAAACAUAAUGCAAGUCAGCUUAUAUUUUAGUGCUGGAGUUUUGCAUGAGCCAAUGAACAAAAAAGAUUACCAAACAAGUAAUGUAGAUGGUCAUAAACCAGUAAAUCUAUAUUCCAGUGAGAUGCCUGCUUGAUGAGUGGAAAGAACUGCAGAUAACACUACAAAACAAGCAUCUGAAGUGCUCAUAAAAGAGGACAGCAAUGUAGUAAAGAAAAAGAACUAUAACCCACUUAGCAUGAUUGAUUGACACAUAACUACAUCUCAAGCAAUUGUGUGGAAGGAAAUACUUUAAUAAAAUGACUGCAAAGACCCUACUAGGUUUUGUUCAUUUUUCCAUAGCCAAGUAUUUCAUACUUCAUAAUGUUUGAUAAUGUGUAUCACAUUUUCUCAUCAUGGUCAUGGUUCGUAACAAGGUUCCGAAAAGGGUUGACAGUGGGUUCAAGAUGACUAUCAAUAGAAAGUUCAACAGCAAGUUCAAGCUAUCAUUCCUCUCUCUCUUUUCUUUGUCAACAGCAAGUUCUUCUUGUCCUCCUCUUUUCCUUCUCUCCCUCAUUCUCUUUGGUUCUUGCCGGGCGCAUGUUCUUCAGGCUGUUGACAGCAGGUUCUUAUCUCCCUCUCCUGUAUCAACAGCAGCUCCUCCUCCACUCUUCUCUCCUUCUCUUUGGUCCAUGCCAGCCGACAUGCCUCGCAAACUGAGACUCAUACCGGUUCGGCCAGGGAUUGGAAUGGUUUCUGGACCGGCAUAAGUUGUUUACAUUAUUUGACGGACAAGAAAGAAAUUAAGAUUAGUUGUUCAUGGCUACAAAGAGAAACAUGACCACAUGAUUACUAUCAAACUUUGUAUGAGGUCAAUGCAUAACAACUCAUGAACAGAUCAGACAAUUUAGGUGAAUGCAUGAUCUGAGAAGGUUAAGGUAAUCGGACAUAACAAGUGUACAAUGAUGGAGAACCAAACAAGAAGAAUACCAAACCAUAGAUCCCAACUAAUUAGGGUUGUCUGAUGAAUGGACUAUUUCAGCCAUUGACCUCAAUGCUAGGCAAAAUCACUAGUCAAACUACGAGCAGUAUAAUUUUGUUUGAUAAAUUCUUAGAUCUUCUUCGUUGCACCGGCAAUUUCAUCAGACUUAGCUUGCAUAGCUGGUACAUUUAGGUAUGGAUGAUUUGAUUUCAAAUACUUCUUUCCAAGACUACAAAUUUUCAUCUUGAAGUGAAGUGUCCAUCUACAGUUGUAAAAUCAAUAUCUCCAAAUUGCGCCAAUCAAGAAGCAGAGUUAGAAUAUUUACCAAUCAAGAAGCAUAAUUAGAUCUACUUAAUGUACACAAGUAUUCUAUGAAAAGUAUUGAGGUGGACCAGAGCACAAAAAGGGUAGCUUCAGUGGAAACCUAAGGGAGUCAAGCAAAAUUCAUCUUUUUUCUCGUGCAAUCGAUUUCCUCCAACCAAGACAUUGAUUCUUCCAAUUUCAAAGGUUUUCAGUAGCAUAAAGGAUCUUCCAUACCCUUUUUCUUGUAACUAUCAUCACGACCGUGUGGAUUAGCAUCAGCCACCAAAAACCCCAACCCUAAACUGAAGUGGGAUUUUUAGUCCUUAGCUGAAGGAGGAGGAGUUCAUAUCCACAUCCCACUUCUUCGGAAACACCCUAAGAUCCUCAAUCCAUUGUUCCACAUCUUUGCUACGCAAAAGCCUGAGAAAAUUACUAAUCAAGAACGUAACUUCCCAAUCCUAAUGCCAGAAUCAAUCACGAGACAGACAAAGAUAGAAUUUCUAGAACUUUAUCGGUCCAAAUUAGGAGAGAAGAAUAGUAUGACAAUCAAGAUGGAAAUAAAGUAACCAUGAAAGAUCCAUUGUAACCAACCAAUGCCAAUCAAAUGGAACCAAAACGAGAGAAAACUCCGUAGUUUUCACUAUUCUCGACCGAAGAGGUAAGAACUUGGAAAAGGUUUCCCAAUCGCUAGCGAAACAAUCAAAUGAAGAAUGAAAAAACAACGCAAAGAACGAAUCGAACGAUCAAAUUGGAUCGGUUUCUCAAAAUUCUUACCGGGACGAUUGAGGACCAACGUCGAUCACAGGGGACGGACGAUACGAAGAAGGCUUCUGGCAGGCAGAAGCCGAGCAAGAGGGAGAAAAGGGGAGGAGUAAUCUUUGAUCGACCGACAAUUUCUUUUUCUUUUUUCUUUUUUAAACUAUUGAUGCGAAAUGAUAUAACAUUUGUAUAAAUAAAAUGUAAUAAAAUUUAUGAUCAGAUGAUUUGUUGUUGUUAUGAUAUUGAUUGGAAUAUUGAAUGUGAUUAUCUAUUUAUCAGCAUUAUAUCUGCUAUAUUUUAUAGACACAAUAACUAAACUAGUGUUCAAGCUGGCCAUAGCACUUGUUUUAUCAUCUCAAUUUAUUAGCUGGUCUUAUUUCUUUCUACUUCGUGUUCAUUGGUAUGCCGAUUGCUGCAUGAGCAGUGAGUGGCUCAAACUCUAAUCACACACUGCGGAGAAUGAUCUGCGCAUAGAUGGAAGAGAAGCAUCGGACAAAGCUCUAUCGAGAAGGUGUAGCUACGAGUUGAGUCUCAUCACCAUCAGGUUUGCGAGCGAGGUACAUGGCAAUUUAGUUGCAAGAGAAGAAGACGGUGGGAGAUCUAAGAAAGGGAAGCGUCAUCAAAAUUCUGGGAGUAGCUCUCUCCGUGUCAUAUCCUCCGAAUCGAGCUCGCCUCGGCUUCGAGGCUUGUUGCCUCCACUGCUGCUCUGCAUUAGCUUCCACAGGAAUUGUCUAAUUGGCAUAGACUGAUGGGCCUCUGUAAGCCUCGUUCUACUCUCUUCUGCAGCCAAUCUCUUCGCCCAGUUCAGUGCAUGCAUCCUUCUCUUUCCCUUGGUUCUUAGGAGAAUCAUCUUUAGCCUAUUCUCUUGAAGCCUCGGUUCACGAUCGUCUAUGUUGCACACUGCAAUCUGAUGCUUGUUUAUACUGCUAAUUCCAGAGCGCGUUGGAGACCAGACAGAUGCACAAGAGGCAUCCGCAACGGUGAGUGGACCACAUUGGUCCUCUUUCCUUGUCCUCUCAACAUCAAUCCAAGUUAAGUGGUUUAAUUAUAUAUUAUUUUUAAUAUUUUGAUUCUUAUAUUUUUAAAGACUAUAUUAUAAAUUUUAUAUUUACAAAAAUAAAAUAUUAAAAUCCUUAUACAUAAUAAAAAAUUAAAAAAUUAUUAAAAUAACGAGAUUAUAAGAAUUUUAAUGUAACUUUUAAAAAUAUAAAGAUCAGGAUACUAAAUAUACUACAGAUCUUUUGUGCGAAUGGAUAAGGAUUUUUUUUUCCACUUUUUAUGAUAAUUUGUUGUUAAUUCAACUUAAAAUUUUUACUUAUGAAUCAAAACCAACAUAUAUAAUCGGACUCGUUCAAUCCUUGAUAAUAUGAGAUUAUUUUACGUUCGGUUCCCUUUCAUACAUAAAUAUUCUCUUAAUGAAUAAGCCAUAAAAUUCUCUUAAACAACAAGCUGGAAUUUUAGUGAUUGCAACUAUGACAGUUAGCUAUUUCUUGCAACAAACAAGCAUCAAGAUGUUAUAUAGUUCAUCUAAAUAAAACAUGAUAUGAAAAGCAUAAUGUGUUCCUUAGAAAUGCUUACUAUUUCUUGAAUAUCUUUACUAGCUUCUUUGGCAAAAAACAAGCAUGCGAUGACAUAUAGUACAGAAAACUAGACAGCAUGACAGAGAAAGAUAAUGUGCAACAUUUGUUUUGAAAUGAUAAAAAACCACUACUAUGUGUUCUUUAAAAUGCUUACAAUUUCUUGAAUAUCCUCAAGACUCGAAGAAAUCCCUGCAAAAAUAUGUAAAUCAAUGUCUUUCAACCUUUUUGUCCUUGAAUAAUUUGUUUAAGAUAGAAGAAAUUACCUGUGUCGGGAACCAUCUGUUUGCCACUGCUCAAACAGUGCUUCUUGCAAACCCCAUCUUGUUUCAUAUCUCCCAACCUCUUGCUCUUUAGUUCAGCAGCUACUUUCUGAUGCAGUUUGGAUGCUGAUUCUACUAACUCUGAAACAACAGCAGAUACAGUAACAACAUAUAAAAUAAUAAAAAGGCAGAUGGAACAGACCAUAUAAAUAAGCUGUCAUGCAGAGUGUUCCAUCAUUUUGCACUGUAUGCUAAUUUGUUUGAAUUAGUUGAAACAAUACGAUAACAUAUAUUCGUUUUUUGGAGUGCAUCCAUUAGUUCAAUUUUUCACCAGGCAAUCAUAAAUGCAUUUGGUCAAAAUUAAGCAAUUUAUAUCUGUGUCCAACUUGUCAAUCUUAAGUUUGACAAGUUAAACAUAAACAGCGAAAAAAAAGUCCAUUUAAUAUUCUUAUUUCAAUAUGCUGAGCUCAGACACUCUUGAGAUGCAAACACUCUUCUGCCUACUCUCCAUUUCACAAGAUGUGCUCAUACAACACUAAGUUUCUUUUCUCAGUUCAGACAUGUAAACAUGAUGUAUUUUCAAGAGCUCCAAGUCACAGAAAAUAGAGAUUUAGAUUCUACGAACAAGUAAUACAAGUGUUACUGUGUGUAUGACAUAAAUAAAACACAUCGAAAACCAUCUCCUGCACAAUGGAAGAAUGUUUUCAAUUAAAUGUCUAGCAUGUAAGGUCAAAAAUCCAAAACAUUUCUCAUCCAUUUUUUAAAACGAUAAAAAUGGCAUAAGUAAACGAAAUAAGACACUGGGCAAGGUCAAGAAUGUUGACACAAUAGAAAGAAUGAUGAUAAACAUGUAGAAGUUACUAGUCUGAUAAGCAAAUUGGAGAACAGUGAAGGAUCAAGAUGACAAUAAAGAAACCUUGAAACAUCAGAUGCACCGAGUGUUCCUUAAAUAGUUGUUGCACCUCAGCAACAGAAGCAUUGUAUUUGUUGUCAGCAGUUGACUGCAUCUCCAACAAAUUGAUCUCCCUAUGCAGCGCUUGAGAUUCCUUCCCCGCCUGAGGAAGUCAACUUAGUUCCAUGCAAGAAACAAUUUUUUAAAAAGAACUAAAAUAUUGAUAAUACCACAAAGAUAGUGAGUUUCUUACAGCUGCAAGUUUUUCUCUCAAAGAGUCCAAAUGAGAAUCGAGUUCUUGAUCUGACAAGACUUCUUGAAGCACUGAAAUGGAAUAUUCUUUCUGAAAAUAACAUCAACCGGUACAUUUAGGUGGAGUUCUACAGAGAAAUAACACCAGAUUGACUUGGCAAUCAUAGAAGAAAUUCCAAGAGUAAGCACAAUAGCCAUUUUCCAUUCAAUACAAAAUCGUGAGUACUGAAACUGAAGAGACACGAGGCCAGACCAAUAUAUCUGAACCAUAACUCAAAUCAGUUUGUUUGAUGCAUCAUGUCAGAAAACCAGGUCCAGGUCUAGGAGUUCUACAAUUGUUUGAAUUUUGCCUGACUAAGAAGAGAUUGAUGAUGAAGAAGGUUAGGAUAAGCUUAACAUCAAAUUAGAGGUACUCUUAGGGAAAAAGAAAACCACGGGUCUGUGCAUUGUCAUAACAAGUCAUAAUCAGCAAAAAAGAAAAAAGAUUUGAAUAUAUUUCAGGCAAAGAUUGGAUGCAAGAUACUUGUCAUAAUAUAGGUUUGUGCUCCAAUUUUGAUAGAAAAACCUACAGUUUUGGGCAACACAAAUCCAUCUGGAAUGGAAAAACAAUGCCGAAGGCAGUACUUCUCCCACAUGCUCAUUCUCUUAUCCAAAACUGCUUGAGUCAAGUGACGAAGGGAAGAUACACCCUACCAAAAAAAAGACAACAAUUAUCAUUGGUAGGAAAACAAUCUUUCCCACAAUAUGGAGAUGUUAUCCAGAGUCAUCAUUCCAUCCGUUAAAUUUAUGAGUCCUACAGAUAUGUGAUUAGUAACAUAUUUAUAUUAGUUAUCAGUUAAUAAAAUAAUGUCAAUAAACAAGCUUCCAUGAUAAUGUAUUUGAUGUGCCAACAGCAGAAACAAACUUAUGAAGAUUAUAAUGUAGAUGAGUGAGAGGUAUAAACCAACAGCAAUCAACUCACUAAAAAACAUAUUGAUACCAUGGUGUAGUAAUCUAUAGGUAUUAGGUUGCCAAGUGUGUUGUGCCCAUCACAUUGUUUUGUGCUGUGCACAUGUACAUCUAUGCCCCCAAAUUUAUACAGCAGUAUUGUCACACAUCCAUGCUCAAUGCUGCUACUCAACUAGCUUGGUUACUCUAAAUAUGGCACAAGGCCACACAUCCAACAUGUGCCAUUCAAUAAUAUGGCGAUGAUGUUUUAAUUUUUUAGAUCUCAAUGAUUAUACUGUGUUGCUCAAGAGAGGAAAUUCCUAUUCAUUUAAAGGUAGAAUAAUUUGAUAAUGUAGUUCACACUCACUUGUUGAAAUACACCAUUUUUGGGUGCCAAUUCAGUAGAAAAUGCCAUUUUAGUUUGCAGACUAUCUUACCGUUCCAAUUUUCUGAACACCCUAUGUCAAAUAUAAAUCUCCUUUCUUUUAGUGUACAUAAAAAGUAUAAUCUGGACUUUUCUAAAAUUAUACUUAUCAACUAAAAAUGGACACUGGAAUCGAGAAUGUAGUUAAGUUGGAUGGACAAGAAAUUCCAAUAAGUUUGAAAUAUCUUAAAUCAAUUACUUAAUAAGAUGGAGAGAUGAUUAAUGAGGAUAUUGUUUAUAGAAUAAAAACUAAAUGAUGAAAGUUUUACAUGAUUGUUGGAUGUCCAUUAGAUUAGCAAAAAAAAAAAAUUACAACAUAGAUGUUAGGCCAGUGAUGCUUUAUGAAUCUAAGUGUUUCAUGAUAAAAAACCAACAUAAACAAAAGGUUUACAUCACUGAGAUAAUAAUGUAUAGAGUUACUAGGUAUGGCUUUGAUAGAGGAUAGAAUGACAAAAAUAAUAAUAAUAAUAAAAUGAUAUAGACAUGUUUUAAGGAGACAUAAAUUGCAGUUAGACGAUGUGAGGCAAAACCAAGAACAUCAAAGUUUUAGAAAAGAAAUUCAUGAUCAAUUUCUAAAUUUCACAAUUUCCAAGCUACCAAAACUAAUAAAAACUUCUAGUUAUGGGAAAAACCAACUGUACCAAGAAAACAUUCAAACUCCACUUUCUUAGAGGGUCAAUUGCCACAGCAGUCGAGUGGCUUAGGCGUCCUCCUGGGAUAAGAGAACACGAAUAGCAGCAAACAACCAAAUGAACCUAAGUAUCCUAAUGCUUUAUUAGACUGUAAGAUUAUGGUAAAAAACGUGUUUUAACACAUUUCCUACACCAAGAUCGACAUCUUUCUCCAAGAUACGUAAAAAUCGAUAUCUAAUUGAACUAUAUAACACUGUCCCUAAACACAUAAAUGUCAACGUAAUUAAGUUAAAAUCCCGUACAAUAUCGUAAGAUCAACACCAUAAUUAGAGGAUCAUUCCAAAAUAAACAAAUUCAAUAUCAAGUAAUAGUCGAAUGUGGACAUAUGUAUAAUCAACAAGAAGAUAGUGUAAAACUCGCACCAAAUAACUUACCCUAGCCAACUCCUCAGACCGAUCGGCACCAGGGCCAGUGAUUUGUGGUGCUUGACUGGAAGAAAAUAGAUAAAUGAUCUUUCAAGGUGAGAACAAGUCGCUGAAGGAGGUAAAAGAGACGGAUCAGGGAAAUUGGGAAGUAAAAGGGAAGAGGAAGAGGAGACAGAACUGCAGGCAGAAAUCGAAGGCUCCGUCGACCAUGUCGUCGACGGCGUUAAGGACUUCGUUGAGGAAGCGCUGCGGGUUGAGGUUGUAGGCAUCGAACACCGCCUCGCUCUCGCUUCCCUCCAUCGGCCUUUCGAUCCCCUUUCUCGCUUCCACCAGGCCGGCCGAGGAGGGAAGAAGCGGCAAUUGUGAACGAUUUGAGCUGCAGCCGUUACGCCUCAAAAAGGGCGUACAAUCCCGAUUUUUCCAACAUGCGUGCCGUUAUGUCGUGUAAAUACCGGACGAUACUGUGGGCUGGACCACGCAAAGCCCAUGUGAUGGAACCCACAUGCGUGUGUGGGUCCCACCAUCAGGUCUUUCGUUUAAAUUUUGAAUCAUCAAUAAUAUGUUUCAUUUAAUGUUUUUAAUAUAUCUAUAUAUUAUGCAAAUGCUUGGACAAUUUUUUUAGAAAAUAUUCAUUGUAAUUUUUUUUUGUAAUUCUAAUUUAAUAUGACUAUUAAUUUUAUUUAUCUUUUUUUUUCAUCCGUCAACCUGUCGAUGUGAUAGAAAAACUAUAUAUAUGUGUGUAUAUAUGUAUGUAUAAUACAUUUCAUUGGAUUUGCAAUGAAACAUAACACAAAUUAAAUAGAUAUGAAACUAUAUGUUAAAAUAAAUCUCAUACGAAUUCAAAUAAUGGACUUAUUAAUAACCAAAACUUAAUUACAAAGGGCUUCUUUCCCUACUUGAAUUCUUUAUGUAAUCUUUUUCUUCUAGUAAUUCUAGUUUUAUUAGAAAUCUAAAAUUAAUAGUCAACCUAAUAAAGAUUUAUUGUUGUGUAAAAAUAUAUUAGUGUAUUCAUGAAAUGUUUCUUCCCUAUAAAAUGAAUUUAAAAUCCAGAUUUUUAAAUAAAAUAAAAUUAGUUUAACAACAUGCAACAUAAAAUUACAAGAAAAUAUGAUGACAGAGAAAAGAAAAACAAAAGGUAACUCAAGUUUUGGUUAUACAUCACAUACAAACCAUUUAUAAGACUAUUCUCUUAGUUUAUCUCAUACCCUUUUCCUUACAUAAAUAUUUAUAAUAAUUUUUGUUUCAUAUGUUCCUCUAUAGUACUAUUAAUUUGGUAAAGAAAGUGACCACAAUAGCAAUCAUGAGAGUGUACAAAAGAUUAUCUACAAGAAGUGGAAAGAAAGAAUGAAUGGUUUAAGAAGCUACAUUGAAUCAAUUCUCAUAUAUGGACAACAUUAUUUAUAUAUUUUCAUGAUGCUCUAAGAUAGAUUGGUACUGUCAUUAUUUCAUGCAGUAGUUGAUCUUUCUCAAGCCAGACUUUGGAGUUCUCACAGCUGAAACUAGUGGAUUGAUUCAUUGAACAUGGUUCCAUAACAUUAGCAGCUUCUUCCCUCCUUAAUGUUCUUAUAACAUGGAGUUCUCCACCAUACCAUGAUUACAAAGUUGAAGAAUCAUCCAGGUAGACACAAAACAAUCAUACGUUGCACAACCCUCAAAGGUUUCCAAAAGCUUCUUUAAGCACAAUCCACACAUGAUAGAGCCAGGUGUUGCCUAAAGUAAGUGAUGCCAAAUAAUAUAUAUAUUGCAUGCUUAGCUAGAAUGGAAUCCCCCAACACACAUCAAAGCCAAUAAACAAAGAUCAUUAAGGAUGGCAACAAUCCCAAAGAAAAACACAAAGCCACUUAGCUUAACUAUGUGUGCACAAGCCAUUGGAAAUGUGGCUUCUAUCAAGGGAACAGCAAGCACCCACAAUAGUAAGCUAUGCCAAGAACACUAACCCUCCUUUUCAAUCUCCUAAUCAAAAUGCUUAGGUCUCGAUUAUUCCCCAAAGAUAUGUGAAUGAGAGGCAAAGAGUCCGUACUUAAACUUUAGUUGAAGAAUCUAUGUUCAUAACUUUAAGGUGAUCUCAGUCGAAUCAAACGUGUCUGUCAAUUCUAAAUUGCCCCAUUGCUUCCGAGCGUAGCAUUGAAGUAUCAGAUUCUAAAGAAUUCGAGUUGAAGUCUUAACUUGGCAAUUAAGGCUCAGUUUAGGCUAGCAAGAAUCGUGGCAACACACUAUAGGCUCUGUGGGAGUGUUGUGCUGGAGGGAAGACACAAGUAUGAAAGAGUAAGAGAGCCCUUAGAAUGUCAUGAAGGACAAGAAUAUAUACCAUUAGUAUUCACUUUGUGUUUGGUUAGAGGACCUAACACUGCAUCUACUGGCUGGCUUUCCAUAAAGGCUAGCUUAGAAAACAACAGAAGUGAGUUGAAAUGUAAGAUGAACUUAGGAACAAGCCAUUUCACCUCUUGACUUUGCCUUAGGUUGACUUUAGCUUGACAUAUUUUCACUCUAAAUUUAUUAAGUUAGACUUAAAACUCUUAAACUUCUUAUGAACAUAUAUUCUUUUACUCACAAUUAAUAAAUCGAAGCUGACUGAUUUGAUCGUCGUAGGGUCAUAGAGUCAUGCAAAACGCACUCGGGGGUAAUCUUUCUUUACAAAACGAUAUAGAUAAUCUUUAUUCCCAAGAGAAAUUCGAAGGAUAUAGACACUUCAGUAAUUAGUGAGUACCCAAAGAGGGUUUAUAUAUAUAUGUAAGCAAUCACAUUCUCCAGUGUGCUACCAACAAGGAGGCAGCUGCUUGUAACUAUAGUAGUGUUAACUCCUUUGGUUCUUCUCCAGCUAUGGAUGGAGAACCCAAUCGGGGAGCUGAUGCAGUAGAGGACAGAUGGAGAAAGGGCCCUUGGACUCCCCAAGAGGACAAGCUUCUCGCUGAGCAUGUCAACCUCCAUGGCGGAGGAAGAUGGAAUUCCGUCUCUAAGUUAACAGGUAACGGACUGCACCAACUGCUGCUCCACUUCCAUCGCCUGUUACUGCUCGGUUUGUGUCGUAGGAUUGAGGAGGAGCGGAAAGAGUUGCAGACUUCGGUGGGUGAACUACCUGAGGCCUGACUUGAAGAGAGGGAAGAUAACUCCCGAGGAAGAGAGCAUCAUCCUCGAGCUGCAUGCCUCGUGGGGAAACAGGUGAUCGAUGAUUAAUCUUACCUCUGUAGGUACCACUAAACUUUGAGCUCGUCGACAUGCAUGCAGAUGGUCCGCCAUAGCUCGAAGCCUCCCGGGGAGGACCGACAACGAUAUCAAGAACUACUGGCGAACCCACUUCAAGAAGAGCACGUCGCCCUCAAAGAACAACGUCGAGAAGAAGCCGAAAGCGCAGUUGCUGACGCAGCAGCAGGAUGAAGAGAUGAGAAUGACCAUGACCAUGAACGAAGUAGAGCGAGUUGCAGUAGCACACGACAUGCAGCAGGAGAUGGCGUACGUGUAUCCCUUUACUGGUAUGCUUCAAGGUGGCAGUCCCGAUGGCUCCAUCAGCGAUGGAUCGAGCGAAGAAGAAGUCUCAUGGGGUGGAUUGUGGCACCUCGAUAUAUGACGUGCAUGCCGGCAAUCAUCAAGUGCAAGAUAUUGAUGUCCUUACGUCCUCCUGAGAUGAAUGUAAAGUGAGUGAACUUGGACAGGCUUAGCAUGUCAUGUUGGUGAAGGAAGAAACCCAUUUAGAUGAGCAUAUAGCGUGUAUCUACAUCUAUUUGUUUCUCUUCUCUCUCUCUCUCUCUUUAUAUAUAUAUAUAUAUAUAUAUAUAUAUAUAUAUAUAUAUAUAUAUAUAUAUAUAUAUAUAUAUAUAUAUAUAUAUAUAUAUAUAUAUAUAUAUAUAUAUGUGUGUGUGUNNNNNNNNNNNNNNNNNNNNUAUAUAUAUAUAUAUAUAUAUAUAUAUAUAUAUAUAUAUAUAUAUAUAUAUAUAUAUAUAUAUAUAUAUAUAUAUAUAUAUAUAUAUAUAUAUAUAUAUAUAUGUGUGUGUGUGUGUGUGUAUUUAUUUACAUAAGGAAAAUUAAUGACAAUAUAACAUGUUAAUAAUGAUAUUAAUUAGUGAUAAGAAGUAUUCCAACCAAUAAUGAUAUUAAUUAGUGAUAAGAAGUAUUCCAACCUUAGGUCAUCGACCGAUAGCCACCUGACGGGAGGACAAUGCGACACCUGUCUCACGUGGGAGAGGGCUGGGUUGACGGUCGACACUCUCUUAGUCAUCCCCUACCAACCUCGUACUGUACGGGGUGGUAUAGAUCAACGCCGUACUAUAGAAGUUCGGAUAGGUUGACUUGCAUCACAGGAGGUUGUACAACUGCCCGCAUGAAUGCAUCGCAAGAGGUACGAACGACCCUUGCAACCGUAGUUCCCUUGUAUUGGCUCCGUAAGUAUAAAAAUCAAUCCCGAACACUUAAAGAGGAGAUCGAUCUCAAAAAACCCCACGAUAUAUAGAAUCAAUUUUCCAUCAACUAACUUAAACAUCGGAGAGGUCAAGUUGGGAAUCCGUCAUAACAUCGACCUAUUAUGCAAGAUCCCGACAGAAAUCGAAUUUACUCCAGCUCCACAUCGGAAUAACUUUAGAGUUGCCCUCGUCGGCUCCUGCUCAAUCUCGAUUACUCCAUCCCUCCCUCGAGAAGACUCACUUAGCCGGUUUCACACCUUUGAAACAAGACUAACCUAUAUCGACACUCGAUCCAUGCAAUGAAGUUGUUAAUAGAAAGAUAUUCCCGAUGGUUGAUUCUUUUGGCAAAUGUGGUAAUAAAGAUAUGGUGGUGUUUAGUGUGGCAAUUAUGGAGAGAAAGGAAUCAAGUAGCUAAAGUGUGCCGUCAAAUCGAUACUGAAGAGCAACAUUAUAGUCUCUCGAACAUCAUUUAAACAUAUAAAAUUAUUAACAAUAAAAAAGAGUUGCACUCGCAAUUAAAGAAACAUAAAUUUGAUUCAAUUGAAUGAGACAUAAUCGACUCGUAAAUUUAAAUAUAAGAAAGUUAGAAAAAAUAAAGAACAUGAAAAAACAUGAUUAUUUAAUUAAGGGAGGACAUCAUCCUUCAUGCUAAAAAUCUAUAAUAACCACGGAUCAUUUCGUACGAAUAAAUAAAUAAUAUAUAUAAUAAAUAAAUUUAUAUCUUAUUAUAUGAUUUUUAAAAAGUUACGACGAGGGUGCAUAGAUGAAGAAAAAAAGUAAAAAUAAUUUUUUUUUGGAUUAUUCUUGGUUCAUUAUGAACCCAUAAUCAUGUGGUAGCACUAAAACACAAAAUUAUUUGAUUGACUCAUUGCUACAUAUGAAAGAUGUAAACAAAUUAAUAUUUUUAUUUAUUAAAAAUAUUCACGUGAAUCAAAUGAAAGAAGGUGAAUUAAAAGAAUAGUAUCACAAUACUAAGAAUAAAAAAUGUUGGGUCAUAUAUAAUGGUUUGAAUCACGAUUUAAUAAGUAAAGGGUUACAAUUUUGGAUUGAAUCGAUCAAUUUCAUACCAAUUCAUUAUUAAUUUUUUGAAACCAUUAUACUUAUACCAUCUUCCUACGUAUAUGCUAAAGUGGAGUCAACAAUCUCAUGAAAUAUUAAUCAACUUCACAUAGGGGAUCAAUAAUCUCAUGAAUCACUAAUCAAAUCCAGAGAUGGGCCUUUGUUUAGUAUGCCUUCGAUGUAAUAUUUCUAUGAUCUUUCGUAAAACCUAUUCAUCUUUUGACAAUAAAUUUGUGACAGACUCAAAACUAAAGUUAUCCAUUUGAGAUGUUUAUAUUUUAUAAAUACGAUAAAUGAUAUACGUAUAUUAUUUAUACUUCUAUUAAUAUUUCUAUUGACAUGUUAUUUAUAAUUCAAUGUGUGUGAGAUUCAGAUACUAUAAUUCAUAAUUCAAUGGGUCGAAGUCAUGAAUUUACCAUGAUUAGAAGAACAAACCAUACAUGUUCAUUUGAACGUAAUCUAAAUUGCUUAUAGCCAACCAAUGAUCAAAAACAAACACCACCCAAAUGUUGGUGAGGAAUCAUAUUCUUGGUGCCAAGCUAUACAUGUUCAAAAGUUGCUUCUACCCAUUCGGAUGAUUUAUUUGAUAACAUUAUCCAAUUGUUGGUAAGGAAUCAUAUUCUUCAUGUAGCCAAAUGUAAAGUAAGGCAGCCAUAGAUGAUGGUAAAUAAUUUAUUUAGAAGGAAUACAAAUACAUAAGAUAUUAAUCUAAUUUUUUAAUUCAACUAUUUGAAAUCGACUAAUGCUCCCAAUGCUAAUCAAAAGAAAUUAUUAUAUUCUCCGCCAUCCUCUCUUAAAUUUAAUUAAAAGAUAAUUUUGAAAGCUUUAAAAAACUCAUUCUCACCUUCUCCCAUAUUGUUAUAAUGCACUCUCAUAAAGCCAUAACAGCUAUUUAUGUGUUGAUCUAUCUUAUCUAUCUCGUCGUAUCGUAAAACAUUAAUUUUAAGUCGAGAGAAAAAUAUUUAUCAUGAAAAAAUAAUCAAAUAAUAUUUACCUUUAUACUAAUAAAUUAGCUUACACCAAAAAAGAUAUUCUUGAUCUAAAGUCCUUCUUCAAUCAUAAUCACUAUGCAAUCAGAAUCUUGUCCUCUGGUUUCUUCUAUUUCCAUCAUGAUCCUCUGGUUUUCUUCAAUUUUGAUCAUGUUCUUCUUUUAGCUUAUCUGAAAACACAUAAUAAUCAUUUCCAUCAAAAUCUUGUUGAUAGAAAGACACUAAAAAGCUCGAGAAAAUUCAUAACUCUCCUGUGAAACUGAGUCGAGCAAUCCAAAUCUUCUUCCAUAGUUGAAAGCAGAGAUAGCUGCAGAGAAAGAAGGAAACAAUCUUGUGAGGAACCAUCAAAUGAAAGGGAUCACCAAAGAGGAAUCCUAUUCUUUUCCCUCGUUCAAUUCUCACCUAAGCACAAGUCUUCUGACGGCAGAAGAGAGACGCGACAAGACAGAUUUUGAUGUCAAUGUUCGAACCCAUACAGCGCGCUGCAGUGAAACGCGGUAAGCAUUCCCUCCCCCGUCCUUCUCUGAAGCGGCCACAGCGAAGAACACGGCAAUAACUCCCACCGGCGGAUCUCGCGUGACUUCAGCACCGACCUGCCCUCAUGUCCUUCAGUUUGCGACGAGGAGAGCCGUUUGUCGUUCUCGGGCUUCACCACCACAUUCUACUGCGGUAAGGAGCACGACAUGUGCUCCGUCCAUGGAAUCCGCUGCCUUCUGCCUGUUCUUGCUCACGUUGGCCAACUUCACCCACCGGAUAUGGUUAAUUGUGCUUCUGCUGCUGCUGCUUUCUGGACCAGGGCUGCAAUGGCACCUGUCCUUCCUGCAGUGAGCAAUCCUCUUGGCGAAGGAGAAUGAUGCUUCUUGUCGGCUUUUCUACUCGUACCACACCGCUCUUCAAAGCUUCGCGGCCAGUCUGAGAGAGGAUGAAGUGGCGGCGUUGAGAGCGUUGCUUGGAGUCGCCUCGGUCCGCUCCGACCGCCGGCUUGAGCUGCUUACUACGUACUCUUACACCUUCUUGGGGUUGAGCUUGGCGACGAGUGGUGCUUGGUCCAGGUCAAGGUUCGGCAGAGAAACCAUCAUCGGAGUACUCGACACUGGUGUAUGGCGACAGGAUGCCGCCAAGCUUCCGUGACGACAGGAUGCCGCCGGUGCCAAGGCGGUGGAAAGCCGUUUACCGGGCGGGGUAGGACUUAAUUCUUCGAGCUGCAACCGGAAGCUGAUCGGUGCUCGGUUGUCCUCUGAAGGCCAUAGCAGCAACCACCUGGAGAAGCCGGCGCCGGUAUCCAUGCUGGAGUACGUGUCUCAGCGUGAUUGGCAUGGGCAUGGCACCCACACAGCGUCGACUGCCGCCGGAUCUGUGAUUCCAGGAGCAAGCGUCCUCGGUAUCAGCACCGGCGUGGCGCAGGGGAUGGUCCCCGUUGGCCACAUUACCGUCUACGAGGUCUGCUGGUUCAACGGGUUCUACAGACCCGACAUCGUCGCGGGGAUGGACGACGCCAUCAGGGACGGGGUCGACGUCCUCUCCAUCUCCCUCGGCGGCUUUCCGAUCCCAUUCUCCGAGGACAGCAUCGCGGUCGGUAGCCUCCGGGCGACAGAGAGGGGCGUCACCGUCGUCUGUGCAGCCGGAAACAACGGGCCCGUGCCGAGCUCCGUGGCCAAUGAGGCUCCCUGGAUCAUCACGGUGGGUGCGAGCACGCUGGACCGGCGGUUCCCGGCGUUCGUCCGUAUGGGCAAUGGCCGUGCCCUCUAUGGCGAGUCCAUGUACACGGGAAACCACUAUUUAAAAAGUGGCGGGAAGGAGCCGGAGCUGGUCUAUGAGUCCGGUGGGGAGACGGUUGCCCAGUUCUGCCUCAAGGGAUCCCUUUCUGAGGCAAGAAUCCGUGGGAAGAUGGUGGUCUGCGACCGAGGAGUCAACGGGAGAGCCAAGAAGGGCGAGGCUGUGAGAUAAGCCGGCGGGCCGGCAUGGUGCUGGCCAACUCCGAGGUAAACCAGCAGGACGACUCCGUCGACGUCCACGUCCACGUCCUGCCGGCCACCUUGAUAGGCUACAAACAAUCCCUGCUUCUGAAGAGCUACCUCAACUCCACCGACCGGCCGGUGGCCAAGCUGAUCUACGGAGGGACGAGGAUCCAGUCAAGGGCGCCGACCGUCGAGCCCAUCGGUGCUCAAGCCGGACAUGAUUGACAUUUGGAGAAAUCAAGGAGAUCAAAAGCUACGCGGUCGUGUUCGAGUCGAGGAAGGGCGUGUCCGACGAAGGAAGUUUUGCAGAAGGGCAACUGGUGUGGGUGCAUAGUGGCCGAAGGAAGUGCAAGAUGAGAAGGCCAAUCUCUGUGAGCUGGGAAGCAUAAGGAUGCGUCUUCCCCAGUUGGCUUCGAUCUUUGAGGAUUGUUUCACAAAGACAACUUGAAAGGUCCGAAUCAAAUUGAAGACUUUACUGUACAACGAAGAAAAAUGUCUGAUAUCAAUCUAAUUUAUUGGAAUAAAUUUCCUCUGUUACGCAGGUUUGGACUCAAAAUAGUCGCUUUACUCUUAACAUACAACAAUUUUUGAUGCAUCACUAUUGGUGUAAAUAACUUCAAGCCGUGGCCUUGGGGCCGUCGCGGCUUAGUUCGGGUCCGGAUGAUAGGGGAUCUCCCUGGGACGUUUCCCGAGAUUGCUGAGGCGGCCGAUUGCGUUGGUCCGAUCGGGACGGGGUCGUCGUUUCCACCGGGAGAGGACUCCUCGCCUGUGUGUUUAGUGGACGACCUCCAACUUCACACCUGCACAAAGGUCGGGUCGGGGAGCUCGACCCGACCCCUCCGACGAUCAAGUUAGUGGGUAGUCGUGGGGGGUUUCUUUAGCUAAGUUGUCUCUCCCUUUUCCUCGAAGCAUGAGGGUUUUUAUAGUGAGAAUUACCGUUGCCUGAUGUGCUGGCUCGCAAGGAGCAGGACCGUACUUCUGGUAGCGUCUGACGUUGCCGUUGGCGUGAUGUGAGGGAUCAAACCUGAAAAGGGCGUUAAUGCGCCUUGGUAGGCGUUUCGGUCCACAUUGACCAGAUGCCUCAUCAGGUCAACAGAGGCGUGAUGCGUCAUCCGGGGUAGCUAGUUGAUGUCACGCGAGUCUUAUUGUAAUUAUUACCCUCAUCAAUCACCAUGUUCAUGAGUCUUAUUGUAAUUAUUACCCUCAUCAAUCACCAUGUUCAUCAGUUAAUCCACAAAGAAGAGUAGCUAAUACUCCAUAUCUAACAAUGUUCCCUGAUACAAAUACUUAUCCUGCUCACAGUUCAUAGUAGGCUAAACUGUGCCAUCCCUAGCUAAGAUGGUGCUCAAGUUCAUGGGAUGCAUGUACUCCUCGGAACCACUCAAAAUCUCCCUCACUAUAAUCCUGCAGGCUCUCUCCGUAGGAUGGAACGCGUCCCAGAAGGCGUACUCGUCUCGAUCUUCACAGAGCUUGGAUACCGCAGUGCAGAGCCCGACGCCAUUGAAAAGUCCUUGCCCACAGCACGCGACCUUCGACGUGAUGAAACCUGCAAAGGUUUGGUGGCAGAGAUGGUCAUUGUUCAUGUUGCUUCAGUUUGCGAGGAAAGUGUCGAGAAAUGCUGGUCAUGGCAUUUACCGUAGACCUGCGGAUUUGUAAUGUAGUUCAUGUGCAUGUUGAAGGCGUUGGCUGCUAUGAAGCUAACAUAGUCGAUUUCGAGGUUGAGUUCCCUCACCACGUCGAACAACAGCAUGUUGAACAUGUCUGCCGCUCUUUGCAGCUCGGGAUCGCACUCGCCGCUCAGACUUCUCCUCAAGGCGAGCUCGGCUGGAACGCAACCGAGUGGCCCGGUCCCGGUGACGAGGAUCAAACGAGCCCCCAACUCGUACAGCCUCUGCAGAAGUUGGGAACAGGGAACUUUACUGAAUGGAGCAAGAAGAAGAGAUCGCAACAUCCAUGGAGAGAAAUCCUACCACGAGAACUUUCCUGUACUCGAAUAUCAGAUAGCGUACGAAGUCGGGCAGAGAAAACUGGCGAGAUCGCAGAGAAAGGGGGAUCAAGUAGUAGUUGUUGACGAAAUCAUUGCCUCCGAGGGUGAUCAUCACCAGCCCGUGGCUCACUAUCUUCCUCGCCUGCGAUCGACCUACCAGAGCACUCAGUUUCUCCUGGUACUCCUCAAAAUAUUGCAGCUGCUUGCUGAUUCUAAUGACGUUUGCCUGCAGGUAAAUGCUCGCAUCGGUACGGAGAAGUCGCGACUAAGCUUAACCUGCAAAGAUCGAUCGCCUUACGAAUUGGAUCCCGGUGUCGUCUAGAAUCCCAACCCCCGCCGACGCGAAGUUAGCGCCAACAAGCAGCUUCUCCCCUCGCAGCUCGGGGCUGAGGUAAGGCAGUGUGGGUUCACCUCCAAGUUGUUCACCUGAGACAUGCAUGCUACGACUGUUAGGCUGUCACGAUGAUGUUUCACUCACAAAUACGUGGGAGUUGCAGACGGGAACACUUCACUCAUAACGUCAGCUAUGUUACGGCCAUUGGAGAAUCUCCCUGUCGGCCGGUGAGACGGGGAAUCGAUGCCGUAAGGAAUGUUGUCAGCUCGAGCAGUGGUCGCCAAGUAGUUGUUGUUGCCACUGUCGACGAGGGAAUCACCGAAGACGAAGAAGGCGCGGGCCUCCGAAGGUGUCGAGGAGCUCCCAAAGACCGCGAGGAAGGUGACAUAAGCGAAGAGAAGCAACGGCUCGCUCAUGGUUGUGAGAAAGCUUGCGGUGUCGGAUGGAACAGUUCCGGUGACUCAGCCAAUCCGUCAAGAGCUUGAAAUAAAACCUGAGCAUAACCCAUUAACCUCAGCAUUGAAGAAGGUGUGGAAGAGGAUGCCAUGGUAAAGUUGGUGGAGUGAGUAAAUAGGUUGGUGAGAGAGGAUUUACUAGAGCACCAACCAAAAGGGUUACAUCUGAAAGGAAUCACUGUGGAAGAUAUUGCCAUUUAUGUGCUGAGGAAGAUGACACCAUUAACUGCAGGGAAGAUGAUGCAGAUGAAAGCUUGCUGAUUUGGUCCACAGUAAGCUAAUUCACCCUUUUGAAUUCAAACUACGGUGCAUAUUCUACUGUCAUUCUGAUGAGAAUUCUUCGGCUGCUUGUCUCAUGGAUUAAUCUUCUUACUAUGAUUUGUAACCUUCACUUACCUUUGCGAACUUAGAUUUAUUGACCUACAAAGUUUACUACAUUUUGCCUGAAGUAAAUUGUGGACUCUACAACAAUGGCUUCUUGUUUCGUGCGAAACUUCAUCAGUCCAUUGAUCGAGCAGAACAAAUCACCUGAAAAGCAAUAAAUAUCUUAUGAGCAAAAACAGGUAAAUGCUAAUAUGAUGUGCAGCAGUAACUAACAAAUUAAAGAUUGUUAAAACAUAUGAGAAAAAUGAAUUAUAUGGUGACAUGACAAAUCUUAUUGACCCAUUAAAUGAAUUAUAUGCGUCACGUUCAGACUGAUCAGUCCAUGGUAUGAUCAGCUACGGCCCGACCAACACUCCAAUUCCGUGUUAUACCAUCUUCCAAAGGCCCGCCGUUUCAGUUCCCACUCAUUCAUCGGACAGGAGUCACGUUACGUCAUUUGGAAGACUGUGAAGUCAGAUGAGUCGUCUUCCAUGAUCUUUCUUCCAUGGACUUCGAGUGCACGUCAUCUGAACUGGAGGAAUCUGUUGCAGUUUGCACCGGCAGCAGCACCUCACCUUGUCUUCAUAAGCUGCUGAGAACUCCCUCUUGCACCACACAGACCACAGAGCUUAGCUACAAUGGAGUCCCCGUCGUUUCUUGCUUUCCUGCACCUGUUGUUCUCCCUUCUCCUAGCUCUCCCACUGGCUCAAGCUUCUCCAAUGUCCCAAGCACAUGCUCUCCUCCACUGGAAAUCCUCUCUCCGAGGCCCAACACCAAGAGCUCUGCAGUCCUGGAACAUUGACACACACAACACCACCACCGCCAGCCCAUGCCACUGGUUUGGGAUCACGUGCACCAAUGGGCUAGUCACCAACGUGAGCGUCCUGCGAGCUGGCCUGGCCGGCACGCUCGACACACUCGACUUCACCGCCCUCCGAUCCCUCACCGUCCUCCGCCUCCGCCGCAACUCGCUCUUCGGCGCCAUCCCCGCCGCCAUCGCCAACCUCUCCAGCCUCGCCGAUCUCGAUCUCUCCCACAAUCGCUUCUCCGGCGAGCUCCCUGCCUCACUGGCAGUCCUCUCCGGCCUCGUGAAGCUCGACCUUUCUGCCAACCAAGUGGGUGGCAAACUCUCAUCGGCGGCCGUCGCCAACUGGACCAGGCUGACACACCUACAGCUUCAAUUCAAUCGACUCACUGGAACCAUUCCCGACGAGAUCCGGUACUUAUCCAACCUUCGUGUUCUUCGUCUCUACAAGAAUCGAUUAAGUGGCUCCAUACCACAUCAAGUUGGUGAGCUUACGAACCUGGUUGUGCUAAAUCUGAACACCAAUAACCUGACAGGCUCUAUUCCUCCAUCUAUAGCCAAUCUAACAAAGAUAAACUCCAUCUCUCUCUACCAUAACACUUUGUCUGGUCCCAUUCCUUCUUGCCUUGGAAACUUGUCACAGCUCAAACUCCUGUACCUCCUCAACAACGGCAUCAAUGGUCCAAUUCCUCAUGAAUUCGGCAAUCUGGUCAACAUGGAGGAUCUCAGGCUGUCAGAGAAUCUCUUAACAGGCACCAUCCCUUCUAGUUUAGGGAACCUAACAAAUGUAGAGACUCUGUACAUCUACAUGAACGAGCUAUCUGGGCCAAUACCACCAGUUCUUGGGAGACUGUCCAUGCUUAAAUCUUUGUCAUUGAACUUUAAUCAACUCUCAGGAACCAUUCCUCAUGCACUAGGAAAUUUGCUGAGCCUGGAAGAUCUGGUAGUCUCCAAGAAUCAGUUAUCUGGUCUGGUUCCCCCAUCUUUUGGCAACCUGACGAGGCUGACAGACCUGGAGAUCUUCCAGAAUCAGCUCUCAGGUCCUUUGCCUCAAGAACUAGCGAACCUCACCAACAUCUCUCAGCUGCAGUUGAGUAGCAACGACUUCUCAGGCCCUUUACCUCCAGAUGUAUGCAAGGGAGGAAAACUCGAGUAUUUCAGCGCGAAUGAAAACCAUUUCGAUGGUCCGAUAUCGAGAAGCUUGAGGAACUGCACCAGUCUGGUAAGGCUUCAACUGAGCAAUAACCAUCUCACAGGUGAUGUCUCCCAAGUCUUCGGAGUGUACCCUAAUCUGGACUUUAUUGAUCUAAGCGACAAUAGAUUCUCCGGCGAACUCUCGACGAACUGGGUCAAGUGUCCAAACUUGGCCACUCUGCACAUGUCAGGCAACAUGAUCACAGGAAGAAUACCUCCCCAGUUUGGCAACAUAACUCAGUUGGCAUCACUUGAUCUAUCUUCUAAUCAGAUAGUUAGAGAGGUGCCAAAGCAACUGGGUGGUUUAACUUUGCUGCUGAAUCUGAAUCUAAGCAAUAACCUAUUGUCAGGGAGAAUACCAUCAGAGAUCGGAAACUUGUCUAGCUUAGCCACUCUUGAUCUCUCUAACAACCACCUUACUGAGACCAUACCCAUGCAAAUAGGGCAGUGCCUUAGACUCCUUGACCUGAGGUUGAGUGCAAAUGAGCUGAAUGGAAGCAUUCCUCUGGAGAUUGGGAGGCUAGUGAACAUCCAAGAGAUGCUUGACCUCAGUCAUAAUUCUCUCACAGGGACCAUCCCAAGUGACAUUGGCAGGCUUGAUAAGCUGGAAAACCUGAACCUCUCUCACAAUGGACUUUCCGGUCCCCUUCCAUCGAGCUACAGUGACAUGCAAAGCUUGUUAACCUUUGAUGUGUCGUACAACAACUUGGAAGGGCCAAUUCCUGAGAAUCGAUUCUUGCGGAAUGCGCAGGUAGAAUGGUUUGAGCACAACAAAGGCUUGUGCGGCAAAGUGCUUCAUUUAUCUCCAUGUCCACAACCUGCAAGCCGCCAUGGUUCAAACAAGCGCCACAAAAUAGUUCUUGCAAGUGUGCUUCCUCCAGUGGUGCUUCUUUUCCUCGUGAUUCUACUCGGAUUGAUCAUUACACUCCGCGUUCGACGGAAAAAUUUGAAGGAAAACAACACGGAAGCCUCCGCUAAGGAUCUACUUUCUGCGUUGGAUUUUGAUGGAAAGGUUCUGUAUGAUGAAAUCGUCGAAGCCACAGAAAACUUUGAUGAGAAGUACUGUAUUGGGGUGGGAGGAUAUGGCAGUGUCUACAAAGCACAGCUCCGUACAGGCCAGGUAGUAGCUGUUAAGAAGCUUCAUUCUUUAGACGAUGAGAGAGGCUUCAGGAGUGAGAUUGAGGCCCUGACCAAGAUACGGCAUCGUAACAUCGUGAGGUUUUAUGGCUUCUGCUCUCAUGCUCGGUGCAUGUUUCUCAUCUAUGACUACAUUGAGAAGGGCAACUUAUCGACCAUUCUGAGCAGUGAAGAAGUAGCCAUCGAACUGGACUGGAGUAAGAGAGUAUGCCUCAUCAAGGAUGUGGCCAAUGCUUUGUCCUACAUGCACCAUGAUUGCAGUCCGCCUGUCGUGCACCGAGACAUAUCGAGCAAGAACAUUCUGCUGGAUUCAGAGCUCAAGGCUCGUGUUGCAGACUUUGGCAUUGCAAGGUCAGUGAAUCCGGAUUCGUCGAAUUGGAGUGAGCAUGCAGGCACACCCGGAUACAUGGCACCAGGUAAAAAAUCCCUAUAAGAACAUCUUAAUUUUCUGCUGAGCAUGUUGUCUAAGAUACGAUGUGGCUACCUGAAUCUUCUCCUCUGAUCAUGCUGCAGAGCUUUCUUACACCAUGAAGAUCACCGAGAAGCAUGAUGUGUAUAGCUUUGGCGUGGUGAUUCUGGAAGUGCUGCAAGGGAGGCAUCCUGGGGAGCUCAUCUCCGCUCGGCCAUCAGAUGGUCAAAAUAUAUUGCUCAUGGAUCUACUGGACCAACGUAUCCCACUCCCAAAACCGGAGGAAUCAAAUGCUGUGAUGUUGGCUGCAAAGCUUGCGCUACAAUGCAUCAGCAUCAGACCGCAGUCUCGACCAAGCAUGCAACAUGUAUCUCAAGCACUUGAUGCUGGCAAGGUUGAAGCUACUCGGCAGCCUUUUCACACAGUUCAAUUGCAUCAGUUGAUGAGGUUCACAUGAAAUAAAGCAUUGGAAGAUUGCAAGCAUGACAGAACUUUGGCAUUUUUAUACUAGCAUAUAUAUGUAGAUUUUCUUCGCUUUGCAUGUAUAUCAUACAUUGUAAGGGUCAGUUGCAUGGAAGAUUUGGGAUUUUUAUUCCUUGAUAUACAUUGUAAGGGUCAUUUUUAUACUACAAUCACAAUGCAUCACUUUGCAUGAUCACAUGGAACUUUGGCAUUUUUAUUCCGUGCAUGUCUCAUCUAUUAUCAUGUUUUACCAUAUGUAAGUAUGAUCCAAAAUAAAUGCAACAAAAUAUUACCUCAGAUAAACCAAGUGCAAAUUAUUUGUAUUUUCUCUGCAGUUGAAAACUAAAACUAUGAUAUUACUAAAACAAAACAUCAUAUAUUUUCUCAGGGGAAAAAAUCAUCAGUAUCACCAGCUAAAAGCUAGAGGGAGAAGGUGACCUUUGAAUGCAUACCCCAUGGUCGUUGCCCCCCGACCAAGUUUAAGCCUGAACUUGAUUUGGAGCUUCAUACUGAUGGUCCAUUCCUCCAUUCUACUUCUGGGGCCAUCAGCAGGAUUAUCCUGGCAAACACAUGGAGGUCAAUAGGCUUGUCAUCGAAGGUAUCACUGCUUGAUUGGAAUUUCCAUGACACUGCAAUGAUUGCAUAGUUAGCCAUCUUUACUUACAUUGAGUUUGGUACAAUUCAAACGAGCCCUGGAUUUAGAUUAAGUUGACUUGAGAUGGCUCUGGUUGAAGACAAGAGAGUCAAAUGCCAAAGACUUGCACCAAAAGAGCUUCUUGACCUCUGUUCUCGGUACCUCAUCUCUGCUGUGCCCAUGGCACUGUUGAGAAGAUAACCUCUCACUUGGAUCUCUCAUGACCAUCUUCUCCGGAGCAGAGUGUCCAAGUAAGCUGUACAGCUCCCGCAUGUGCCAACAAACGAUACAUGAUCAGAGCUGCUUGCUCAGGAGUCAUGGUAAGCUUCCACGAGUAACCAUGAGGAUAAAUGUAAGGUUGCUUAGUCUUGCACAAUCUUCAACUGGCAGAUUUGCCAGAACUGCAAGCAAAAAAAGAAACAAGAAUUGCCUCCAUAAACAAAUGUAAAGAAUUUGUUGUAUAAUGUAAUACUGUUGCUGAGUGUAGGUAUCUAAACUAAUACUGUUUAGCAACAAUAUUAAUACUAAUACAUCAAAUGCCCAUUAUAAGAUGGAGGGCAAUUGUUGCUUACAGCAUUUCGGUGUCAAUACAUUGCAGAUGUACACUUUAUUUGGCAUGUGGAUUGUUAAUACUACAACGCAGACAAGUUAUAAACAUAAUAAUUUGACUGAUUCACUUUAUGGACUUAAACACUGUAUGCCUAUACAAAUACAUCAUUUGGCUAAACUUUCAGGCUAAAUGAUGUUAUGCUUUUGUAAAAGAGCAGAAGAGCCUUUGCUUCACUUUCUUCUUCCGAACCGAACAGUAUCCCUCCCCUUCCUUGCUCUCAAAUCUUUAGAUGCCUAGCUCCAAAACUGGUUAUAAGUGAUAGAGAAUAGCAUGAAAAGCUUUAUAGUAUUACAUCAUCAUCAACAGUAUAAUUAUGCUGAAAUUUGUCAUGGCUACCUUGAACCUUUGAGACUCCACGGUCAACUUUUUCAACCAAGUAUGCUGACCUCUGCUAUUAGCUACAAAAAGCAAUGCUGAUUGGUUGAUCCUGUUACAGUUUUUAUUUUUAAAAACAGAAACCUCAAAAUUUCUUUUCCAUUUACCUUUCACUUUCUUUCUUUCUUUAUUUCUUUUCUUACCAUUUUUUAAUUGUAUCUGUUACUUUCAUCAUCCAUUAAUUUAGAUGUUAAAUUGGAUUUACUGAUUAUUAACCCUUUGGAUUAUUAUUAUUGCAAGAUGUUACAUAUUAACUCUUCUAUAUAAAGGAUGCUUGAUUUACAAAAUGCAAAUUCUUCUUUGAAGACAACGACGGUUCUUCUCCUUAGAAAAUCCUCUUCAAGAUUUCUACAUGUCUUUUUUCAACUCUCUUAUCUUUUCUGCUGCUCAAAUUGAAAGAAGCUAGUCGACUUCUUCACAAUUACAAUUGUGUGUAGAAGAUAAAUAAACGGCCGUAUCCUUGGGGAAUGGAUUCAACCAUAUACUUGCAUGAAGGACGAAAUCAUUCCUCAGGUCAACAAACAUGUGCCUUUGAAUCAUGUCCAAAACUUAUUCUCUUUAGUUUUUGUUAAAGGGAUCAAAUUUAAUUCUCUUUUUCAAGUUUUUACCCCAACAUAUCUAUGAUGAUAUAGGGGAAAGUAUAUGCAUUUCCACAUGUUAUAAAUAACGAGUUGAUCUAGAGAAGCAAUUGUGAACAGGAACAACACGAUCUAGCUGUGCAGAACCCUUGUCAAGGCAUUUUGUUGGGAUCAUUCAGAACUCAUGUAAAAAGGUCCAACAGGCUUUGAUUUCAACCUAAGAAACUGAGAGUAUUUGGUUGCAAAUCAAGUCAUUGUGACAUAGCACAUGGCCACCAAUUUUUCUCAGACCUACACAUCAUAUCAAUCCAAGUAUCAGUAGCUGCUGAAUUCCAACUUCACAUACCAAAUGUACAAAACACAUUAUAUCUUUGAGUCCUCAUUAAAUAUUUCCACUAAUUACAACAUCCUUCAACCAGCAUCAUUAUGUUUUCUCCAUUCUCCACCACCAUUAACUAGACAUAAACUAUUGGCUCACGACAUAUUCAUUCAGAAUUAAACAAUAAGCUCAUUAUAUCUUUAUUUUAUCACAUGCUUCUAUAUCUCUUAUCACAACCUAAAACAUCUUGUAUUGUACUUCUUUGUCAAUGGAAAUUAUUAAGUGGCACUAACUUCUUCAUAAUUAGCAAGCAAAGUACAAAUAACUCGAGGAAACCAGCUAAUCAAUGAACUUGAAUAUGAUUUUAUUUCAUUUUUUAUUUUAUUUCAAAUUAGUUAUCCUUCAUAACAAUAGAAGUGCAUUCUUUUCUUUCGACAUUAGUAUAGACCACCUAGAAAGAAAUUAACCUAGGUGCCAAUGAGAUUAUCAUGAAAAAUUCAAAUAUAUGAUUAACCAAUUUAGACGUAACAAGAAUAUGAAUGGAGAAAACAAGAUGAAAAUCAGAAGCAGAGCAGAGUAGUCAACAAUCUUGUUGAUCAAAUAGCUGGGAGUAAGCUUAUCAUCAGGACAACAAGAGGUGACAAGUAAUUAGUGAAUUCUUUACUUACUGAAACACGUUGCUUCCUGUACUGGAUAUAGAGUGGAGGAAAACAUCCUGGAGUUACUACUGCUGUUCGAGGUACAUGUCUUUCAAAUAUGACUGCAGCUAUGCAUUAAAGGAAACUGAUAUACAAGUCAUAUUCGAUAACGUUUUCCACAAAGAAAAGAAUUUCAUGGCUGUUUGUAGCAAGGAUUUUAAUUUCGAAUAAUACCGCUCGUACCGGUGGAAUGUACCGGUCUACCAGCAGACCAGUACGCGGACUGCCCACUAUUGGGCGGUACUGUCGAUUGGGGUUGUUUCCGUCUCGUUACCAUCUGAAAACGGUCGGUGACGGUCGAUUUUGAUCGUCACCGCCCGUUCCUGGGUGGUAUUAGUCGAAAGAAGAGGGAGAAGAAAAGGAAGAACGUGAAGAUCCGGCACCGCUCUCCCUCGACGAUCCCGAUCCGUCACCGCCCUCCCUCGUCGGAUGCCAAAGAUGAGAUGUCGCAUCCUCCGUGUCUGAGACGACAAGGCUUCGGCGUCGUCGGUGACUUCUCAUCCACACGGGGAGAAGAAGCCUCGGCGAUGUCGCAAGGAGAAGAAACCGAGAGUCGUUGGGAGAAGGAAACCUCGGUUUCUUCUCCUCACACGGGCAAAAACAUAAGGCGACGUCACCUCGUCUCCUUGUUUUGCACGGUUCUUCUCCCCACGUGGGCAGAAANNNNNNNNNNNNNNNNNNNNAUAUCGAACGGUAUGCCAAAAUGUAUCGUUCGGUAUAUUUAUAUCGUACCGUACCAAACUCGAAUCUUCGGUAUGGUACGAAAUUACAAACCUUGGUUUGUAGCAUAAUAUUCACCAAAAUAACAGUAAAAUAGAAAAAAGUUAUGUACAUAUUUUCGAGUAUCCUGCAAACAUGAAUUGGGAUACUCCAAUGUAAGUGCAACUUGUUUUGACAAAAACUAUAGCAGGAAAAUGCAGCACAAUGAUAAAAAGAUGAAAAUUGCAGAAAAUUCAAGAGGGUCAAAAACUGUUCACCUGAAGGCAAUUCUCAAACUGAACAAUGUGAUGGCCUCAGAACUUUCAGCACGUACACAUAAUACAUUAUCUACAGUGUUAGUCUCUCAACAAUUUCAUCCCCAAUCCCGUAAUCAACGCUCAGCUCUCUUAAAGGAGGAAUAUUCUCCACUGCAAAUAUCAUAACAUGAGGAUAUGACACAUUAUGAUCAAAAAGGACAAACUGCACAAACACGUUUGGACAAGAGCUAUGGCUGAGAUAGCAGGCAACAUUCCUCGCUCUUGAAACAUCAAUCGAAAAAUUGAGAUCAGGCAUAGAAGGAGAGUCAGCUAGUAGAUAAUCAGGUGAAAUAUCUGAAAUGUCUCCCCACUCGGUCCACCUUCUUGGAAACUGACCCGGAUUCACCAAACAUUCAUUAUUUCUUGAAAGCACCUCUGCCUGUGCCUUGGUGAUUGCAAUCCCACUAAAUUCACAAAUAAAUGUUCCAGCCCGAAUCAAAUCCAACGACCUAACUCCCCACCCUGUCUCCAUGGAUCUGAACACCUCCAACCGAUGGCUGACUCCCUUCUGGCUUACCCGGUUAGGACAAGUUGGCGGGCAUCGGCACAAGGUGCCACAUUCAUAUAUCAAUGAUUUUCCCCUCAAGAGGAUCCCAUCACGAUUAUAAGCAAAGUCACCCCCAUUCUUCUUCGCACAAUAGCAACCGGCUGAGCAAUUUAAAGUGCAGUCACACCCAUUCCAAUCAUCUGCUUUCACCUUUCCCUGAAAAGCCUCAGGAGGGAGAAUGGGACGAGUGAGAUACUCAAACAUCAAUGGAUCUCGAUCAUCAUCAAUGUCAUUGAAAAUAGAAACAGGCAAAUUCUCCUUCCCCCUUGAAAUGUCGAGGCUGAGAUACCCGACCGGUCUCACGCUCAAUGGAUUCGCCUUCAACUUAUCAGCUAGUUUAAGAAUUUCACUGCCCAUCUCCUCUUGGCCUUCCAUUCUUAGAAACUUGUACUUGUACACCGUAAAACCUGACUUCCCGACAUCCAUCCAGCAAUCAACAAUCUUGUAAAGCCCGUCAUAGACAUAAACCCUUCCGGAGGGGCUCCCGUCGAACUUGAUGCCACGAAUAACCCGAAUUUCAAUACCGUAAUUCAUGCUGCGCUCCAGUGCGAGAUUCCCUCCUUCGAGCUUCUGGUUGACGCAGUGCCGCUGCAUGUUCUGGGAACGGCCACCAUGGCCGGUGUAGAUGAGCACGACGCCCUUGUCAUCGUCGUCCUCAUAACCGCCGGACACGAUGAUGCUGGUGGCAACGGGCUCGCCACUGGCGCUCCGGCUGGCAGGGACGUAAUCGAUGCCAGCCUGGACCUGGCCGUGCAGGCCGACCACGCAUAGCUCCAUCCGGAAGAAGAAGACGUCGCCGACGCUGAUCCCGGGGAUGGAUCCGAUGAUGCGCCGGUCGCGGUUGAGCCAGAGGUCGCGAUCGGUCAUGAGGGCGGCGGCCCUGAGGUCGGGGCGGGUCCGCCGGCCCCAGGCAGCCACGAAGGCUUCCUCGCGGAGGAAGGUCUCGCCUCGAUCCUCGUCGCGGAGGAGGAGGAGGGCACGCAGGGAGUCGUAGGUGAUGCGGGUCCGGCGGACGAGACCGCGGAAAUAGAGCCGGUCGCGAGGGCCGAUGCCAGAGACGCGGACCAUCUCUGCGGACCGGGCCUUGCGCUUCUUGGCGGCGACGAUGGCGGACGAGCAGGCAGGCGCCACCGGGGCGGGUACGAUGGAGCAGUGGCGGCUGCGGUCGUCAUCGGCGGCGAAGAGGUGAGAUCGGCGGAAGUAGUCAAGGAGGAGCGCGGCCUCUUCGGGGCUAGCGUCGGGAGGAGGGAGCGGUUCCGCCGGACCGAGAGGUUCGAGCUGAGACGGGCAGCCAUCGACAGGCUCCGGUUUUGGUUCGAGCUUCGCGAUGGGGAAGAGAUUGAGGUCCUGAAACGGAGUCGGCGAAGGCAGCGGUGGCGGCGGCGGAGGAACCAUCGUGGGAAUGGCGGAAGCUACUGGGGCCCUCGAGGCUUGCGUACGUUCCCGGACAAGCGAGUGAUGAUAAUAUAUGCAGAAAACCUCACUUUAUAUGUUUUUAUCGAGACGCCUUUUUUUUAUUUUUUAUAAAAAUUAAGAUGAAUUUUUUCAAAAAAAAAAUAUUUUUAAAAAAUUCUUAUGAAAACGUUUUUUUUAUCACAUGAAAAGAUCAUUUUGCCUUUAUAUUAUUGAUAAUAAAAAUAUAUUUUAUAUAAAAAAAUUUAAGAUAUUUUUUUAAAAUUAUUUUUAUUUUUUUAUAAAACAAUUCUAACCAUAUGAAAAUAUCAUUUGACCUUUACAUCUACAAUAUGAAAAUUAUUUUUAUGCUAUAAAAUAAUUUUUAUAUCAUAUAUUCUUUUCAUGAUUUUGAAGUAUAAACAAACCUUAUGAUGUUAAACUGGUAAUAAGACUAUACUAUUCUCAUUGCAAGAUCAAACUGAAAACGUGUCAAAUUGGAUUAUAAAAAUAUUAAAAUCAAUAAAAAUAGAAAUAUCAAUUAAUAAUUAGUUAUAUCCUGUAUUUGUUUUUGUAAAUCAUGGAGGUUCAGAAACAAGUCUUUAUUAUUACAUAUCUAAAUAGACUAGUCAAGAUGAACAUAUGUAAAUUGAGUAUAAGAGCCCGUAAAAUUAAUAUUUUUAAAAUAAAUGGAAUAAUUAUUUUAAUAAUAAUUUUAUUUAAUUAUAAAAUUUUGAGAUCAAUUGGACACCACUUGUGGAGUUAUAUUGAAAAAUGAAUGCAAUUAUAGAUGUUUACAUAAUCAAUUGAAAAGCAUGGUAAAUUAGUCUUAAAAUAUCUCAAAAUAUAAUGAAAAAUAGAAAAUUUAAUCCCUAAUAUGAGACAUGUUAACUUAGAUCUAAAAUAUCUCUAAAAUGAUUAAAAAAAAUUCUAUGUUGAGAGUCUAAGAUGAAAUGUAUAUUUCGAUCAUCGUCACACUCAACAGAAAACGAUGGAAUACGAGAGCUUACUAUUUAAAGUCCUUUUUUAUUAAUAUUUUUUUUAAUAAAAAUAAAAAUUAUUUUUAUUAUUUAUAACCUCUCUAAUUUUUUUUUUCUUCCCCUGUAAUCAUUGCUUAUGCAUCCAAUUAUCAUGGAAGCUCCCCCAACAUUUCUUGUCGUUGAUUGUUGCCUCCCAACUAUCAUUAGCCACCCCCAAGAUGUGUCCCCUUAGCAUGCACUCACUCCGAUUAUACUUUUAUUCACUCAAUUCUAUUCUUUAAAGAAGAAGAAAAAUAAAAUAUGCAAAAGAAAUGAGACAAAGAGAAAAGGAGAAAAAAAAAGUAUAUUUAUAUCCAUGAAAGGAUAAUUUUAAAAUAUAAAAAAUAUUAUAAAUAAUAAUCUUUUUGACUAAGUGAUCAUGUGAUACCUAUGAGCAGACCACAUUCACCAAGAUACCAAAGGGGUUCCAUCCAAAAAAGAAUUAUUGGAAUUAUGGAGUAGGAGAAUUUGAUUUAUAAUAAUAAUAAUAAUAAGGAUGAGUACAUAAGAGUCAUAAAUUUAAAUGAUUUAGAGAUGGAAACUCGGUUUUACUUUCAUUCCAAGAGGUAAUCCUAUGUGGAGGGAGAGAGAAAAAAAUAAAAGAGGGUAAGAAGGCUAUCAAGUUUGUUUGGUCAAUAAAAAAAAUCUAAUUUAGAAAGACUUCUACAACUACAAUAAAAAUAAUAAGUGGUAUUUGGAAGACUUCUAAUGGUAGAGAAAAAAAAUCUUAAAAAUUAAGAGUUAGACUAUUGUAACCUAUGUAUGUGAAGUUAUAGUUGUUUUCCAGUCUUAUAAUCCUUCUUUAUAUAUGGUCGGAUAUUGACGUGAUAGCAUCGAUUAGCUUAGUUGAUAAAUAUUUUGAUUAUUACAUUAUAUAUCUUAAAAUUUUAGAAUAUGAUGCGAGUGAAGAUAAUAAACAUUUUAAGUACUAUUAUAAUUUUCUUCGUCAACAAAGGUUAAAAGAGAAUUGAUGAGGAUUGUGAGAUAUACAAAUAUAAGAUGGCUAUUCCCAUAUUUUUUAUUAUUGGUUAUUUUUGUGGUUCUUAUCUUUGAGAACCUUCUUGUCCUAUUAUGUAAAAUAAAGGAAAAUUGUAACAUUCAAUACCACUUAUUUAUUUAUUUAUAUAGAUAAUAAAUUUUCGAAUAAAGUUAUGAGCCUACUAAAGAAUCACUAAUUUAUGAGGUGCAUGCGAAAGCAGGAGCAUCAUACCUAUUAAAGAAUCACUAAUCUAUAUAACUACAUAUAAUUUCCAUGUUAAAUAGAAUAUGUCAGCUGGCUAAGCAUCUUAUUGUCGAUAGCAACGCCUUGGAUCAUGUUGUGUCUUCAUCAUUUAUCCUUUUGAUUCUCGAUUUAUAAUGCUAGUUUAAAUAUUAUGAUAUAAUUAUAUUAAUUAAUUUGUAACAUAAAAUAAAAUGGCAUUUAUAGAAGAUGUCAACGAGCUAAAUAUCUUGUCGUUGAUAAUAAGGUCUUAUGUCAUCAUAUGAUGUCUUCAUCACUUAUCUUUUAAAAAUAUUUUUUAUCAAUAAAAACAUGAUUUUCUAUUUAUAAUGUUAAGUUAAAUAUUUUUUAUUUUAAAAUUUUUCAUUACAUUGAACCUAAGACUUAUCUAUUAACUAAUUAACUAUUUGACACACACUAAAAUAAUAGUGAUUCUUGUAGGAAGGUUAUUGAAGAGUAUUUAAGAAGUCAAUAAAGGUAGAUUUUAUUAAUUGUCCGAAGAUAGUUAAUUUCAUUAAACACAAAAAUUUGGAUAAUAAAUUGAUAAACUUAAAAGAUAUGAAAUAAUUAAUAUUAGUGAUAUUUUUUUUAAAUAAAAAAAAUUAUUUAUUUAUUCAACGAGACUAUCCGAGAAAUAUAUGAAAUUCCUGUCUCAUUUGCAAGAGAGUAACCGAGUUUAAAUACUUAAAUCCAAUCUAAAACAUUACAAGACGAAAGAUAUCAUUGUGUAGCUUGCAAAGAGAUCAUGGGACCAAUUUAUCAAAAUAAAUAGUUGGAGAAAUUUUUUGACAAAAAAAAUUAGACAACCUAAAUAGUCAAGACUUUAAUUCUAAAUGUUUGAAGAAAAUAGAGUGAAAGGAAAAAAAAAGUAAAGGAUAAAUUUGGAUAAACGAAGGGAAGAGGUAUUAAGAAUCGACUUUAUUGUUGUUGUGUGGUGCACCAUGUGAUGAAUGAUUUGGUUGACACUUCAUCAUGUUGAUUACACAUGGUCAACGUAUUGAUCUUCUAAGGUCAUCUCAAUUACAUGUGGACUAAGAAUGGCAAAUAGUCUAAUUCAUCAAGACAAUAUAUUAAUUUAGCUCGAGAAUAAUGUAUGAUCUCCCCCAUACCCAUAACCAUCGAUGAUCCCACAAAUAGUUAUCCUUAAAGCCACCUAUAAAAGGAGGCUCUUAAGUGCAUUCCACACACAUGAAAUUUUUUUAAAGAGAAUUCAUUUAACUCGUCCGAAUAAUCUAAACUCGAUACUAACUUGAUUGUCGAAAAGAUAUUUGUCAAAAACACCUCAACUUAAUUUUAUAGGUAUCAAACGAUCGAAACUGUACUUUGAACUAAGACAUAUAAGAAUAAUCUCAAUUGGAUCCAAAAUUGAUUCUUAGUUCGCACAACCAUAAAUUAUACUAACUAAUUAACUAACUAACUAACUAACUAACUAACUAACUAUAUAUAUAUAUAUAUAUAUAUAUAUAUAUAUAUAUAUAAUGUUUUUUGAUAAAAAAAAGGGGCAAUCAAUUACUAGCUAAUUAAACACUCACCAUAGCCAUUUGUGUUUACUGUUGUAAUCAUUCGGAAACCAUCAUGGCCACCAUGAUUCAGUUCUAUCUCACAAAAGUUUCCAAAACUCAUGAGGCGAGAGAGAAUAACUUAAAAUCUAAAAAAGAUUAAUGCGAUUCAGUAUUCAUCAUUUAUAUUCACAUGGAAGAUCAAUUUUUUAAUAUAAAAUUAAUUAUAAAAAAUUUAAAUUCUUUUUAUUCAAGUAUAAAUCCCUUUAUAUACUCUUUAGAAACUCUAGCGAGUACAUUCUAUGAAUAUCCUAGAGAGAAAUCUAAAAUUAUCCAAAAUAUUUUGAUCACUUUGUUCUUCCCCGAUCUAAAUCUAGAGAUAUAUAUAAUAUUUAAAGAAGUAUUAAAUUUUAAUUUUCAUAAUUUCUUAGUUCUUGAGAUCUUUUUCUCGUGAUAAGAUUUUUUGUUCUCUUAGGAUAUCAGACUUUAAAAAUCUUAAAAAUACUUAUCAAUCAUAACAACUAAAAGCAUUUUACAUGCUAAGAUGCAUAAGAUUAGGCAAAGAGGGACUACUUUGGUGGUAGAAAGAUUUAUCCUCUUGUUGGAGUUCAAGCUAAUAUGGUCUGGAAGAAGAAUAGUUCCCUAUACCUGGAAAUAGUCUAAAAGAAAAGAAUAAAACAGUAUGGUCUUUAUAGUUUUUCUUGUUAUUGAUUUCUGGCAUUGUUCAGCUUUAUCCACUUGAGGAUGUUUCAGUAGAACAGCAUUCCAUGGGAAUAUGCAGGAGAACUUGGACUUGAUCAUAUGAGACCUUUUGUUUGAGAUGACUUAUUAUGAUUGAUUGACACAAAAAAUAUGUAUAAAUGUUGAUCUACCAGAUGAGGAGUCAUUUGAAGCUAAACUGGAUCGAAACCUUAAGAAACUUAAGUACAAGAGUUUGCAUAAACAUGUAUUAUACAGACAUGAGACUCCAUCAAAUCAUUCUUAGCAAAGCACAAGCAGCAGUCACUGAUUACACUUCCUGGAUUUCAUCCAAAGCGUAGUUGUUGGUCGAGACGCCGGCAUAGUUCACCUUGUUGAAUCGAACCACGACGGGAUAGCGAGUCUUGGGAUCCUGAAGAAGGUCAAGAUGUCAAGAACCGAAGGGAGACAACCUAAACUGAUCUAUUGAAGAGUAGCCACAGGCAGAGAGAGUGAGUACCUGGUCCACAGUCACAACCGAUCCAAUGCCUUUGUACCAGUAGGAUUCCUUUCGCAGAAUCUUCACCUGGGAAGAACAGUGCCGUCUAAAAUCACACUAUCUUACACUGGAGAAGCUUACGAUUCAGAUAAAACAAUUGCUCGUGCAGAGAGUAGCUUCAUUAUUCAUGGCAGAACACUAAGCAAGUUAAUAUGUUUACUGUAUGUGUUUGAUACAUCUGAAAGUAAUCUACCGGUACAUAUAUUUCCAUACCUUCGCGCCUCUCUUUGGACCGAUUGGUGGCGGCGGCGGAGGCUUGGCAACUACCUUCUCUCCCGCUUCUGCCGGGGGGGGCGGUGGCGGAGCCGCCGCCGCC
rnacentral:lncRNA from 1 species